GGUGAUAUUUUUCUUCAUAGUGUAGAAUAAUUUUAGUGCUUAUUCCGCAAAAAAUAUGGCCUCAACUGACCCCAUAGCUUGUAUGUUGCGCCACCACUGUUUCCUAUAUCUUAUUACAUCCGUUGUUUUUAGAUCUUGAUGCAUAACUUUGACAAUUUUUAAUAGAUAUGUGUCUGUAUAAAAAUUAUAAAUGCUAUGAUAAUUUGAUUAAUUAUGAUGAAUAAAAUGUUAUUGCUCUGACUUGAUCCCUCUAGAAUUUUCCAAAAUUUCACAUUACAGUUGUAGUAGUGCAUGCUACCUCUUGAGCAUUGCGUUAGUUUUCCCUUGAAGAGGAAAGGGUGAUGCAGUAAAGCAGCGUCAGUAUUUCCCUCAGUUUUUGAGAAGCAAGGUAUCAAUCCAGUAGGAGGCCACGCACGAGUCCCUCGCACCUACACAAACAAAUAAAAUCCUCGCAACCAACGCAAUAAAGGGGUUGUCAAUCCCUUCACGGUCACUUACGAAAGUGAGAUCUGAUAGAUUUGAUAAGAUAAUAUUUUUGGUAUUUUUAUGAUAAAGAUGCAACGUAAAGAAAGCAAAAUAAAAACAGCGCUAGAAAUAGCUUGUUGACGGGAGAUUAAAUAUGAUGGAAAAUAGACCGGGGGGCCGUAGGUUUCACUAGUGGCUUCUCUCGAGAGCAUAAGUAUUUCGGUGGGUAGACAAAUUACUGUUGAGCAAUUGACAGAAUUGAGCAUAGUUAUGAGAAUAUCAAGGUAUGAUCAUGUAUAUAGGCAUCACGUCCGAGGCAAGUAGCCCGACUCCUGCCUGCAUCUACUACUAUUACUCCACACAUCGACCGCUAUCCAGCAUGCAUCUAGAGUAUUAAGUUCAAAAGAACAGAGUAACGCUUUAAGUAAGAUGACAUGAUGUAGAGGGAUAAACUCAUGCAGUAUGAUAUAAACCCCAUCUUGUUAUGCUCGAUGGCAACAAUACAAUACGUGCCUUGCUGCCCCUACUGUCACUGGGAAAGGACACCGCAAGAUUGAACCCAAAGCUAAGCACUUCUCCCAUCGCAAGAAAGAUCAAUCUAGUAGGCCAAACCAAACUGAUAAUUUGAAGAGACUUGCAAAGAUAACCAAUCAUACAUAAAAGAAUUCAGACAAGAUUCAAAUAUUGUUCAUAGAUAAACUUGAUCAUAAACCCACAAUUCAUCGGUCUCAACAAACACACCGCAAAAGAAGAUUACAUCGAAUAGAUCUCCACAAGAGAGGGGGAGAACAUUGUAUUGAGAUCCAAAAAGAGAGAAGAAGCCAUCUAGCUAAUAACUAUGGACCCGAAGGUCUGAGGUAAACUACUCACACAUCAUCGGAGAGGCUAUGGUGUUGAUGUAGAAGCCCUCCAUGAUCGAUGCCCCCUCCGGCGGAGCUCCGGAAAAGGCCCCAAGAUGGGAUCUCAUGGGUACAGAAGGUUGCGGCGAUGGAAUUAGGUUUUUGGCUCCGUAUCUGGUAGUUUUGGGGGUACGUAGGUAUAUAUAGGAGGAAGAAGUACGUCGGUGGAGCAACGUGGGCCCCACGAGGGCGCGCCCCCUACCUCAUGCCUUCCUGGUAGAUUUCUUGACGUAGGGUCCAAGUCCUCUAGAUCACGUUCGUUCCCAAAAUCACGUUUCCGAAGGUUUCAUUCCGUUUGGACUCCGUUUGAUAUUCUUUUUCUGUGAAACUCUGAACUAGGCAAAAAACAGCAAUUCUGGGGUGGGCCUCCGGUUAAUAGGUUAGUCCCAAAAAUAAUAUAAAAGUGUAUAAUAAAGCCCAUUAAUGUCUAAAACAGAAUAUAAUAACGUUGGAGACGUAUCAAGCAUCUCCAAGCUUAAUUCCUGCUCGUCCUCGAGUAGGUAAAUGAUAAAAACAGAAUUUUUAAUGUGGAAUGCUACUUGGCAUAAUUUGAAUGUAAUUCUCUUAAUUGUGGUAUGAAUAUUUAGACCCGAAAGAUUCAAGACAAAAGUUUAAUAUUGACAUAAAAAUAAUAAUACUUCAAGCAUACUAACUAAGCAAUUAUGUCUUCUCAAAAUAACAUGGCCAAAGAAAGUUAUCCCUACAAAAUCAUAUAGUCUAGCUAUGCUCUAUCUUCACCACACAAAGUAUUUAAAUUAUGCACAACCCCGAUGACAAGCCAAGCAAUUGUUUCAUACUUUUGAUGUUCUCAAACUUUUUCAAUCUUCACGCAAUACAUGAGCAUGAGCCAUGGACAUAGCACUAUAUGUGGAAUAGAAUGGUGGUUGUGGAGAAGACAAAAAAGGAGAAGAUAGUCUCACAUCAACUAGGCGUAUCAACGGGCUAUGGAGAUGCCCAUUAAUAGAUAUCAAUGUGAGUGAGUAGGAAUUGCCAUGCAACAGAUGCACUAGAGCUAUAAGUAUAUGAAAGCUCAACAAAAGGAACUAAGUGGGUGUGCAUCCAACUCACUUGCUCAUGAAGACCUAGGGCAUUUUGAGGAAGCCCAUCAUUGGAAUAUACAAGCCAAGUUCUAUAAUGAAAAUUUCCCACUAGUACAUGAAAGUGAUAUCAUAGGAGACUCUCUAUCAUGAAGAUCAUGGUGCUACUUUGAAGAACAAGUGUGGUAAAACGAUAGUAACAUUGUCCCUUCUCUCUUUUUCUCUCUUUUUUAUUUGGGUCUUUUAUCCUUUUUUUAUGGCCUCUUUUUUUUUAGUCCGAAGACUCAUCACGACUUGUGGGGGAAUCAUAGUCUCCAUCAUCCUUUCCUCACUUGGGACAAUGCUCUAAAAAAAUGAUGAUCAUCACACUUUUAUUUACUUACAACUCAACAAUUACAACUCAAUACUUAGAACAAAAUAUGACUCUAUGUGAAUGCCUCCGACGGUAUAUCGUGAUAUGCAAUGAAUCAAGAGUGACAUGUAUGAAAGAAUUAUGAACGGUGGCUUUGCCACAAAUACAAUGUCAACUACAUGGUCAUGGAAAGCAAUAUGACAAUGAUGGAGUGUGUCAUAAUAAACUGAACGGUGGUAAGUUGCAUGGCAAUAUAUCUCGGAAUGGCUAUGGAAAUGCCACGGUAGGUAGGUAUGGUGGCUGUUUUGAGGAAGGUAUAUGGUGGGUGUAUGAUACCGGCGAAAAGUGCGCGGUAUUAGAGAGGCUAGCAAUGGUGGAAGGAAGAAAGUGCGUAUAAUCCAUGGACUCAACAUUAGCCAUAAAGAACUCAUAUACUUAUUGCAAAAAUCUACAAGUUAUCGAAGCAAAGUAUUACCCGCAUCAUUCUAGGGGGAUAGAUUGGUAGGAAAAGACAAUCACUCGUCCCCGACCGCCACUCAUAAGGAAGACAAUCAAUAAAUAAAUCAUGCUCCGACUUCAUCACAUAACGGUUCACCAUACGUGCAUGCUAAGGGAAUCACAAACUUUAACACAAGUAUUUCACAAAUUCAAAACUACUCAACUAGCAUGACUCUAAUAUCACCAUCUCCAUAUCUCAAAACAAUUAUCAAGUAUCAAACUUCUCAUAGUAUUCAACACACUCAUAAGAUUUUUUUACUAAUCUUGAGUGCCUAUCAUAAUUAAAGCAAAUUACCACGCUGUUUUGUAGGACUAUCAAAAUAAUCUAAGUGAAUCAUGAGAGAACAAUAGUUUCUAUAAAACAAAACCACCACCGUGCUCUAAAAGAUAUACGUGAAGCACUAGAGCAAAAACUAUAUAGCUCAAAGGAUAUAAGUGAAGCACAUAGAGUAUUCUAACAAUUUCUGAAUCAUGUGUGUCUCUCUCAAAAGGUGUGUACUGCAAGGAUUAUUGUGGCAAACUAACAAAUAAAGACUUCAAAUAAUACAAGACGCUCCAAGCAAAACACAUAUCAUGUGGUGAAUAAAAAUAUAGCUCCAAGUAAAGUUACCGAUGGAAGUAGACGAAAGAGGGGAUGCCUUCCGGGGCAUCCCCAAGCUUUGGGUUUUAGGUGUCCUUAGAUUAUCUUGGUGUGCCAUGGGCAUCCCCAAGCAUAGGCUCUUGCCACUCCUUGUUUCAUAAUCCAUCAAAUCUUUCACCCAAAACUUGAAAACUUCACAACACAAAACUCAGCAGAAAAUCUCGUGAGCUCCGUUAGCAAAAAACAAAACACCACUUCAAGGUACUGUAAUGAACUCAUUCUUUAUUUAUGUUGGUGUUAAACCUACUGUAUUCCAACUUCUGUAUGGUUUAUAAACUAUUUUACUAGCCAUAGAUUCAUCAAAAUAAGCAAACAACACACGAAAAACAGAAUCUGUCAAAAACAGAACAGUCUGUAGUAAUCUGUAACUAACGCAAUUUUCUGGGACUCCAAAAAUUGACCCAAAAUAGGAAGACCUAGACAAUUUUUUUAUUGAUCAGCAGCAAUUGGAAUUAAUAUUUUAUCACGUCCUGGUGAUUUUUAACAAUUAUUUUCGUGAACAGAAAGUUUCUGGAAUUUUCAGCAAGAUCAAAUAACUAUCAUCCAAGAAGAUCCUAUAGGUUAAACUUGGCACAAACACUAAUUAAAACAUAAAAACACAUGUAACCAGAGGCUAGAUCAAAUAUUUAUUCCUAAACAAAAGAAAAAAUCAUAAAAACUAAAAAUAAAAUUGGGUUGCCUACCAACAAGCGCUAUCGUUUAACGCCCCUAGCUAGGCAUAAUAGCAAUGAUAGAUCUAGGUAUUGCCAUCUUUGGUAGGCAAUCCAUAAGUGGCUCUCAUAAUAGAUUCAUAAGGUAAUUUUAUUUUCUUUCUAGGGAAGUGUUCCAUGCCUUUCCUUAAUGGAAAUUGGAAUCUAAUAUUCCCUUCCUUCGUAUCAAUAAUUGCACCAAUCGUUCUAAGGAAAGGUCUACCAAGAAUAAUAGGACAUGAAGGAUUGCAAUCUAUAUCAAGAACAAUAAAAUAUAUGGGCACAUAAUUCCUAUUUGCAACAAUAAGAACAUCAUCAAUUCUUCCCAUAGAUUUCUUAAUGGUGGAAUCCGCAAGGUGCAAGUUUAAAGAGCAAUCAUCAAAAUCACGGAAACCUAGCAAAUCGCACAAAAUCUUUGCAAUCGUGGAAACACUAGCACCCAAAUCACACAAAGCAUAGCAUUCAUGAUCUUUAAUUUUAAUUUUAAUAGUAGGUUCCCACUCAUCAUAAAGUUUUCUAGGGAUAGAAACUUCCAACUCAAGUUUUUCUUCAUAAGAUUGCAUCAAAGCAUCAACGAUAUGUUUAGUAAGGCUUUAUUUUGACUAUAAGCAUGUGGAGAAUUUAGCACGGAUUGCAACAAGGAAAUACAAUCUAUCAAAGAGCAAUUAUCAUAAUUAAAUUCCUAGAAAUCCAAAAUAGUGGGUUCAUUAAUAUCUAGAGUUUUGAUUUCUUCAAUCCCACUUUUACCAUUUUUUGCAUCAAGAUCUAAAAACUCCGAAUUUUUGGAACGCCUUCUAGGUAGAGGUGGAUCAUAUUCAGUCCCAUCAUUAUCAAGAUUCAUAUUGCAAAACAAAGAUUUAAUAGGGGACACAUCAAUAACUUUUAGAUCUUCAUCUUUAUUUUCAUAGAAACUAGAAGAACACGCUUUCACAAAACAAUCUUUCUUAGCACGCAUCCUAGCGGUUCUUUCUUUGCACUCAUCAAUGGAAAUUCUCAUGGCCUUGAGAGACUCAUUGAUAUCAUGCUUAGGAGAAAUUGUAUCAGCGUUCCUAGCCAAUUCAUCAAAUUUAAGCAAUUUUUCUUCAAGCAAAGCAUUGAAAUUGUUUUGCGAAUUCAUAAAUUCUUUAACACUAGUCUCAAAUUCAGAAGGCAUCUUAUUAAAAUUUCCAUAAUAAUUGUUGUAGGAAUUACCAUAAUUAUUAGAGGAAUUACUAGGAUACGACCUUGGAUUAAAGUUUCCUCUAUACGCGUUGUUACCAAAAUUAUUCCGACCAACAAAAUUCACAUCCAUAGAUUCAUUAUUAUUCUCAAUCAAAGUAGACAAAGGCAUAUCAUUAGGAUCAGAAGAAACACUUUUAUUAGCAAAUAAUUUCAUAAGUUCAUCCAUCUUUCCACUCAAAACAUUAAUUUCUUCUAUCGCAUGCACUUUUUUAUUAGUGGAUUUUUCGGUGUGCCAUUGAGAAUAAUUAACUAUAAUAUUAUCUAGGAGUUUAGUAGCUUCUCCUAAAGUGAUUUCCAUAAAAGUGCCUCCCGCGGCCGAAUCUAAAAGAUUUCUAGAAGAAAAAUUCAAUCCGGCAUAAAAUUUUUGUAUAAUCAUCCACAAAUUCAAACCAUGAGUAGGGCAAUUACGUAUCAUUAAUUUCAUCCUCUCGCAAGCUUGUGCAACAUGUUCAUGAUCAAGUUGCUUAAAAUUCAUAAUAUCAUUUCUAAGAGAGAUGAUCUUAGCGGGAGGAAAAUACUUAGAGAUAAAAGCAUCUUUGCACUUAUUUCAAGAAUCACUACUAUUUUUAGGCAAAGACAAAAACCAAGCUUUAGCACGAUCUCUAAGCGAAAAAGGAAAUAGCUUCAAUUUAACAAUAUCUUUGUCCACAUCUUUCUUCUUUUGCAUAUCACACAAAUCAACGAAGUUGCCAUGUCUAGGAAUGCUUGAAGCUUCAAAGAUUUCCUAUAAUACAACAUGCCUCUAACUAUUCACAAUAAGAAAAACAUGUAAAUGCGGAAUCAACCAAAUGAUGGUAAAUUGUAGUUGAUUUUGGCCAAGCAAACGUGAGAUGAAAGAAACAUACAUGAGUGAACAUCACGAUUGGAUGUUUUAUUCAAAUUUAACAGGUUAAACUCACCAAAUCCAUCUGGAUAUUUAGUAUUAAACUUUAACAGAUGGUCAGUUGUAGCUAGAUUCACACCACUGAAGCAAAAUUCCAUCUGCCACGGUUACAUCACACCAUCUUUUCAUCGUUACUAUUUAAAUUCCAAAUGCCUGCAACUCAUUUUUUUGUUAUGAUGUAUGCAUGAUUUUUAACUCAAGAGGAAGAGGGGAAACUAAAUCCAAGAAAAGAACACCAAGGAAGCAUCCAAAAUAGAGAAAGGAAAAAUCCAAAAUAGAGGCAGAAUCGAAGGGAAGAAACCCCAUAAAAAAUAGGAGAUCAAACGGUGAAAAAAAUCUAAGAGUCAAACAAUUCCAGGUAAGACCAAAUCGACGGCAAAAUAGCACAAGAGGGACUCACAUUAACAGGUAUACCAGGUAUACCAAUUCAGAAAGAAGUGUAAAGCGAACAGUGCAAUGGACCACUAGUAUAAAUUGGAUGUACACAAACAUGGGACUUAAACAGGAACUGCGAGAUGCAGGGUUCACGUGCAAACCCAAAAAACGGAAAACUGAAACCCACAACAAGAUUUUAUCUUCAUGUUUGUGUAUUAGUUGCUUCUUCCGAAUCCCCACCUAUCAAGCGUUUUCUCUGAAUAAACAAACAGAAUAGUAUUCUCUGAAUUAUACUGUACAACGGUAUUUAACAAAGCGACUGGAAUUAACAAUAUUAUGAGCUAUUGGCUUUUUAGUCAGGUAAAUAUCAUUCUUAAGACUACGGAAAACAGCAGGCGGCGAAGAAAACAUCUAUUGAUGAGAACUAUACACAUACUUAAGAAGGAAGUGACAUCUAUGGUAGCAGAACAUAUAUCAAGCUGUUGCAGCUACAUUAGCAGUUUAGCACAGUUCCUCCAUAAUACACAGGCUAGUGUAAUUUCACAAAUACAAUAAGCUAACAAUAUAUAUUUGGUAGAUGGAAAUGGCUGGAUCAUGACCAAUAUACCAUUACACAUCCGAUGAUGCAAAUAAAGAAACGAGGCCCAACAAUAGUGGAAAAUAAACCACAAUAGAACAUGUAUUUGGCGAAACCUCCAUACUGCAAUAUCAAACAUGAAUUGAAAUUAACAAUCUAGCAAAAAAACAUGACAGAUGCAGUCUUGGUCAUUUUUCCUUUUGUGACAUCCCCUAAAAAAGUAAAAACAAUGUUGUUCGUAUUUUACCAGAGAUACACUGAGCUGGGACAAUUCGGUCUGAAAUAAAAUAUGAUGGCUUCGGAGGAUUCGGAAGGCAAGAAAUUUGCUUUCUUCCAACAUAUAUGGUCUGCUGAACUAAACUUCGUUUCAACGGGCUUUGGCAAAAAUUUGUAACUGCAAACAUCAACUUGUGUGCCCGUCCUACGUCAAACUUUAACCCUGACGGAUUAAAUAUUUUAGGUUAGGCUGAGAUCAGUGUACUUUAUGAGUGUUAAGUGUACUUUCUAAAUAGCAGAGAAACCAUAACAUCUAAGCACAACCCAGCAACUUGUACAAGCUAACAUCAAAUCUGAAAGAGGAAAUGUCGAGAACAGGUGAAGGUACCAUGAUCCACGACUGAGCAAAGUUAUCUAUAAUCCUCGGUGAAUAUCAUAAAUUAGGAUCAACUACGCUGAAGAACAAACGGGAAAGGAACCUAGAAAGAUCUUCUGCCGGUAGAAUAUAACUGAUACACUAUCCUCAUUCUCGAGAUCAAGGUCGUUUCUUGAAUUGCAGUUUCCUCACUGUAGUAUGGGGUCAUUACACUGCGAAGAACAAAGUGUCAUAUGAAUCAUUUAGAGCCCAAUAUUUUUCACUGAAACUCUUAUGAUCACAUAACGAAUUUAAACAUAAGGUUUAUUAGAUAUUUGUUGUUGUGAACAGAUAAUAUAUUUCUGGUGUUGACAAUGUUUUGAUUAUGGAUGCACUUCAAGAUGGGUGGCACAGAUUCUGUUGUACAGGCCUCCACCUGGAAUUUCAUCACUUGUUAUUUUUGUUUUAGAAUGUCUAGGUGCAUUUUUCCUUUAAGGUGGAAACAGAUGUACUUGUAUAAGCAACAAGAAUACAAAGCGCCACUGCCAUACAUUGUGGAAGUUCAGUGCUUCUGUUUACAAAAUCUGCUUCCCAAAACAGAAGGAUUUAUAAUUUUUUAUUACAAUCAAGCGGACAUGAGCUGAUGAGUACAGAUGUAGACAUGUACUGAGAGCAGCACCCUUUCAAAAGUGGAUCAUUUACAAGUUGGAUAGUUUGAUGGUCUGAAAUUAGUGGUCGUGUUUCAGAAUUGUUAUCGAAUAGUAGGGGAUAUAUAUUAACUUCUGAAAUUAGUGGCUGUUUGUCAGAACUGUUAUCGAAUAACAGAGCACAUAUAUUAACUUCAAUAAGUGGAGUAAUAUUUUUGGAUUCGCUGUGAGGAAAGAUUACCAAAACAAAACAGAAGUGAGUGCGAGGACCCAGAUCAAGGCGCUCUUGAGCCUCUUCCCGACCGACCUAGAUGCAGGAGCAGAACACGGCGGAUCUAAUCAGCCAACGAAUAAAGCUGAGGCAGGUAGAGGAAGUAAGGGAGGAAGAAGACUGACUUUUCCUGGUCGCCCUCGUAGUAGAACCUGUGUUUUGAUUUUCGGCCGAAAAAAGUGGAUUUCGGCCAUCUCGGCCUGGGGCGAAAAGUGUAUUUAGGCCGAAAUUGUUCAAAUUUAGCAAAUUUUGGUCAAAUUUAAGUCAAAUUGCAGUCAAAAUUUGGUCAAAUUUCAGCCGAAAUUUUUGAAAAUGGCCGAAAUUCGGCCAUCUCAGCCUAGGGAGAAAAAAAAGCUCAAACCGAAAAUCAAAACACAGAGUAGAACAUGGCGAACAGGAUGACGAGGAAGACGAGGACAGCGUCGAGGAUGUAGACGACGAGCCAGAGCGUGUUCAUGGGCAGGAUCAAGCAUGGGCAGGAUAAGGGCGCAGGCCCCGUUGUAGGCGGCGUGCUUGCAGGCCUGGCGGUUGGCGACGUCGGCGGGGAGCAUGAGGAUGGCGAGGACGGCGACGGUGAUGCCGAGCACGACGACGAGCUUGAGGAAGUAGGCCUGGUUGGCAUCAUCCGGCUGCUGGUAGUUGACGAGCAGGUAGACGCUGACGAGGAGCACCAGGAUGCUGACCACCGCCGCCACGAUCACUAGCGCCACGUUAAAAACCCCAUCUCCUCGGGGCUCCGGUCCCGGUUCCGGCCCGCCGCCUCGCCCCCAUUGGUCGGUCAGAUCUCUCUGUCCCUAGAGGCGGGGGGACACAGGCUAGGGUUUGGGCGUGGGCGGGGAAUAGGCUGCUAUGGUGCCGGCAGCGGGGCGUGUAGGAGAGAAGGAUUAGGAGGAAUAAUUCACCACACUUUGCUUAAGCUCUCGGCUGGUUCUUAUGUAUAGAUUACAGGGCCAGCCAGGGAGAUCAUGGGGUGAUCCACUACCUGGGAUCGUGCGCCACGAUCACUACAUGCGUGCGCCACGAUCAUAUACACACACGCUACACCUAGUGUCUACGCAACUACGGUAUAGCAGUACAGUACAGUCUAACACCCCCCCGCAGUCGUGACGUCGUCGGCGGCGACGCAAAGACUGGACCGGAACUCAGAGAAAACAUCCGAUGGCAGGCCUUUGGUCAUGAUGUCCGCGAGUUGUUGGCGCAUGGGGAUGUGAAGAACACGGAAGUGGCCGAGGGCGACGCGCUCCCGCACGAAAUGGAUGUCCAGCUCCACAUGCUUAGUGCGGCGAUGAUGCACCGAAUUGGCUGACAGGUAGACUGCGGACACAUUGUCAUAGUACACCAGUGCCGCCUUGGUCACUGGAGCGGAGAGCUCGCCGAGAAACUGGCGGAGCCAGAUGCAUUCAGCGACCGCGUUGGCAACGCCGUGGUAUUCAGCUUCGGCACUGGAGCGCGAUACGGUCGCCUGGCGCUUGGAGGACCAGGAGAUGAGAGCAUCGCCGAGGAAGACGCAGAAGCCCGACGUGGAGCGUCGGGUGUCGGGGCAGCCGGCCCAGUCCGCGUCGGUGAACGCACGGACGUCGAGCGUGGUCGAGGCGCGAAGAUGAAGCCCGAGUGUGCAGGUGCCCUUCACGUACCGGAGCACGCGCUUGACGAGCGCGAGGUGACAUUCGCGCGGGUCAUGCAUGUGCAAGCAGAUUUGCUGGACGGCGUAGGCGAUCUCUGGGCGCGUGAUGGUGAGGUAGUGCAGGGCCCCGGCGAUGCUCCGAUAGGCUGAGGGGUCGUCGACGCAGGGCCCAUCGGCUGAGGGGAGUUUGCUCUUCGUGUCGAUGGGUGUCGGGGAAGGGUGGCAGGUGUCCAUGCCGGCGCGUUCCAGGAGUUCGUCGGCAUAUUGUUGUUGCGACAGGAAGAAGCCAGCUCGGGUGCGGGUCACGCGGAUGCCGAGGAAGAAGGCGAGCGAGCCCAGGUCCUUCAUGGUGAAUUCGCCUGUGAGGCGUUGGAUGACAUGGUGAAGCACGCGUGACGAGGACGCGGUGAGCACGAUGUCGUCGACGUAGAGGAGGAGGAACGCCAUGUCGUUGCCGUGCCGGAAGGUGAACAGCGACGAGUCCGAACGCGUAGCUGCGAAGCCAAUGGAGCGGACGAAGCCGGCGAAGUGGAGGAACCAGGCACGGGGCGCCUGCUUGAGCCCGUACAAGGACUUGGAGAGGCGGCGAACGUGCUCUGGUUUGUCGGGGUCGACGAAUCCGGCGGGCUGGAGGCAGUAGACUUCCUCCUCCUAGUUGCCGUGGAGGAAGGCGUUGGAGACGUCGAGGUGGUGCACCGGCCAGCCGCGUGACGCGGCCAGAGUGAGCACCGUGUGGAUCGUCGCUGGCUUGACGACGGGGGAGAACAUCUCGCCGUAGUCGACGCCGGCACGCUGAUGAAAGCCCCGCACGACCCAGUGUGCUUUGUAGCGGGCCAGCGCGCCGUCGGCGUCGUUUUUGUGCUUGAAGAUCCACUUCCCUGUGAUCAGGUUGGCGCCCGGGGGGCGGGCACCAGCUCCCACGUGCGAUUGCGCACGAGCGCAUGGCACCGAGCCAGUUCGGGUCGCGAACAGCAGCGCGAAGCGAACGUGGCACCGGCGACACCGAUGAUGAGGUAGAGGCGGUGGCCGCGUCGUAGUAGCGUGGGUUGGGGCGGAAGAUGCCGCGCUGGGCACGCGUGACCAUGGGCACAGGAGGCGCCGGUGCGCGGCGCGCCGCUGGUGGCGCGCUCGGAGACGAGCUGUCGGAGGAGCCGCUGGCGGAGUUGUCGGAGGAGCCGCUGGCGGAGGCGAAGACAGGCGGACCAGGCGCGGAUGGGCACGUCGAGGAUGGAGCCGAGCCGCCAUCGGAAGCGCCCGCAGCGUACCGCGAGCUGACGCGGCGCGCCUCGCUGGUUGGCGAGGAUGAGCGGGGCAGGCCGGUGAUGGAGAUCGGGCGCGCCGGCAGCACGGGUGACAUGCUGCUGUCAGGCACCAGUGGAAGCGCGGGCAGCGCAGGAGGCCGGACGACGAGCGGGAUCUGCAGGGUAGAGGGUAUGACGGGUGGCGUAGGCGACGGGGAAGAGGAUGCGAACGGGAAAACGUGUUCGUGGAAGAGAACGUGGCGAGACGUGAGGACGCGGCGAGAGGUGAGGUCAAAGCAGCGAAAACCACGAUGAUCGGGAGGGUACCCGAGGAAGACGCAGGCGAUAGAACGUGGCUCGAGCUUAUGGCGGGUGGUGGCGGUGACGUUCGGAUAGCAGAGGCAUCCAAAGACGCGGAGCUGCGAGUAAUCUGGGGCGACGCCGAGCAGGAGUUCAUGCGGAGUGCAGGGCGCCGAGGCGCGGUAGGGCCGACGAUUGAGCAGGUAGGUCGAGGUGUUGAGAGCCUCUGCCCAGAAGCGAGCGGGCAUGUGCGCAUGACAGAGAAGCACACGAACGCCGUCGUUGAUCGUGCGGAGAACUCGCUCGUCCUUGCCGUUCUGCUGACUGGUGUAUGGGCAGGUGAGACGGAAGUGUGUGCCGUGGCGAGCAAGCAGAGAGCGCACGGCUGCGCUGUCGAAUUCACGACCAUUGCCCAUUUGCAGUGCAAGUAUGGGUAACUGAAACUGAGUCUGAACAUAGGCAAAGAAAUCAACAAGUAUGGGAAGAACUUCAGACAUGUGUUUCAGAGGGAAAGUCCAGACAUAGUGACUGAAAUCAUCUAGUAUAACUAAGUAAAACUGAUAGCCGGAUAUGCUUACAACGGGAGCGGUCCAUACAUCAAGGUGUAAAAGCUGGAAAGAACUAGCAGUGGUGGAUGUCUGAAACGGGAGCCAGGUGUGUUUGCCAACACGACAGGCAUGACAGACAGGCGGAUCACGGCAGAACUCCAGGGACUGAUCAACAGCAACAGUGCGGAGUGCGGCAGCCCCUGGGUGGCCAUGCGUUGGUGCCGGGUGCAGGCGUGGGGUACGCCGGGGGAGGGCGGGGAGCCUGGGAGGACGGCGUGGGCGGGCCACCAAUGCCGUUGCCACGUCUGCGGCGGCGUCCGCGCCCACGCCCUUGGUUGGUGUUGCUGGGCGGGGGUGUGGGUGGUGUAGGAGAGCCGCCACGCCCGGCGACGAGAGCGUGCGCAGACUGCUGGCGAGUGGUCGACUGCUCUGCUCGGUGUUCCUCAAGCAGGACGAAGGAGCGCACCUGCAGGAACGACGGGAGCGGGACCUGCGAGGUGAUGUGAGGGAUGGCGGAGUGGAACUGCUGGUUCAGACCGCGGAGCAGGUUGAAGACCUGCCGCGAGUCGGUUACCGGCUGCCCGAGGUCGCGGAGUCGAUCCGUGAACGACUUCAUCUUGGUGCAGUACGCCAUGAUCGACAUGUCGCCCUGAACGACAUAGUGGUACUCGGCGUCGAGGUAGACAGCGCGAGCGAGGUGGUUGUCGCGGAAGAUUCCAUCGACCGCAGUCCAGAUGGCCAGAGCAGUGUCGUCCGGCUGCAUGACGACGUCGAGCAGGUCCGGCGAUAUGGUAGUGUAGAACCAGUGGACGACGACGUGAUCAGCCAUGCCCCACUCGGGAUCAUCGUGGCGGUGGAUGGCCAUGGCGUCGACGUGAGUGCGGAGGCCGAACAUGCCGAUGACGGUGUCGAAGUGGCGGCGCCACUGCGUGUAGUUGCCGGCGAGAAGGUCGAGGGUGACCGGGACAUGACGACGGAUGUCCACGGUCUGCAGGAUCGCGGAGGCGACAGGUGCUGUAGGAGGAGGAGGAGGGAUGACGGGCACCGCGGGCGCGACAGGUGCUGGAGCCGGCGGUGCGUUGGCCAGGGGGACAGCGUUGAGGACGCCGUCGGCGCCGUGCUGCGAGGAGCGAGGGGACACGACGGGGUUGUCAUCCAUGGCGGUGGAAGCGGGACUGGCGACCUGCGCGAAGGGAUUGAGCAGGUCGGGGGAGUCUGAUACCAUAUAGGAAAGAAGGAUUAGGAGGAAUAAUUCACCACACUUUGAUUGAGCUCUCGGUUGGGUCUUAUGUACAGAUUACAGGGCCAGGGAGAUCAUGGGGUGAUCCACUACCUGGGAUCGUGCGCCACGAUCACUAUAUGCGUGCGCCACGAUUAUAUACACACAUGCUACAACUAGUGUCUACGCAACUACGGUAUAGCAGUACAAUAAAGUCUAACAGGGCGGCCACCGGCGGGGAGGGCGGGAUCCGUGCGGGGUGGCGGGAUUUGGGCAGGCGGUGGGCUCGGGGGAGGGCGAUGGCAGCGAAGCAGCAAGGAGGGGCUGGAGGAGAUGAAACGAAAGAGGUCGCGUGACACAGCGACAGCGUAGUCCAAUCCCCUCGCUGCUGAUUUAAAAAAAAGGUAAUGAUAACUCCCGAACGUUCGGGAGUUAAGCAUGGCAACCCGAACGGGUUUAGAUGGCAAGUUUAGUUUGCGUGAGAUUAGGGAAACAUGGCAAUUUUCUGACAAAAGAAAUGAAAAAGGACGAAGUUGCCAUCCCCUAUCAACUAAAGUUGCCAUCCCCUAUAAAUUAAAGUUGCCAUGUAAAAACGUUCGGGACGAAAUGCUCAAAAUCCGAACGUUCGGAAGUUACUGGAUUCAAAAAAAUCCCCUUGCUGCCAAUCGCUGGCCCGUUUCUUUUUUCGCCCAAUCGCUAGGUGAUGACGUGGCUAUCGCGGGAAGGCGCCCUUGAUGCGUAGUCGAAUGGUUUUAAUUAAUAGGAAACGAGUGCUUACUCUAGUUACUGAAUCAUGUACACCAAAUAAAGCCAUUUACACGUAGUUAAUGACAAAAAAAGUUGAUGUUUGCUACGCAAAUGUGUAGUACAAAUUAAGAAGUGCAAGAUUAAAAAAAAAUGCUGGUCCUUGAUUCGUUGUUGAUCGUCAGCAUGCCAUCAUCAAUUUGUAGUUAAUUAUCAUACAAAUUGGCUCUUUCAUAGAGUUGGAGGCUAGCUCCUUUGAUCAGCACGCGCUUAAACACAAACAGCACGUAUAUGUUUUGUCUCCGGAGUUCAAUUCUUCAUCGGCCAGCAAAAAUGGCCCGACCGGGUAGAGGAAAAGGCAUGUUUGUUAGUACGCCUGGAGGAAAUGCCUUUGAUUACGGCAUCUUCAACAGCGACCAGUAAAUUUCCUUCCGCGUUCGUUCACGGAUAGGGGAUCAGUCUGCGGAUACGAAUACAGGAAUCAUCCAUCCAACGCUGUCCGCGUAUAUUUCAAACACAUUUUUUUUUUAAAAUAGGAUGAAAUUCAUGCAAACACAAUGGAUUUCAUACAAACCGGACAAAAAUGUUUACAUUUUGGACAUAUUUUUUUACUAAAAACUCUACAGCCGGCGCCGGCGAAUAUCCACCCCGGCGACAUGGAUACCCUUGACUAGUCUACUGCCGGCCGCAGCGGAUCUCCAAUGUCGUCCCCAUAUCCGGCAGCUAUGAGCCCUAGAGGUAUAUGCUUCAGCGCAAAGAGCGGCUCGCCUCCCUACCGCUCAUCGGAGUGGAACAACCAGCUGAUGCUUCUGCCGAUGGAAAGGGUCCCUACGCUACACGGAUUAGAGUUGGUUUUCGGCUGGGAACGGCGGUGGCCUGCCAGAGGGCAAGACACCGACUGUGUAUGCUGGUGUCACCUGGUGUGGCAUUCGUGGGACCCAAGCGGCAGCGCCUCCUCGAUGAUGGCGGCGAGCGCGGACGUGUUUGACACCACCUCGUCGAUGUCCGUGCAGCCGGCUUCUUUCUCUGUAGGAAGGACGCGGUUACGCUUGCGUUGACAUCGGAUGACUCGGUCACAUGCACGGGAGGGGCGGUACGACAUGGCACCGCCAAUGGCAGCCAUGAUGCCCACGCCACCGUGCUCCCUCCCAGUGCCGAUCUAGAGCAACUUGCCACUCCUCUGCUCGUGACCGGUGGGCUUGACGGGCCACCUAGCCAUUUUUUAUGCCAGACAACUCUUCUUCCUGCUCGUCAGAUGUCAUGGAUAAAACUGUUUAAGGAGGAAAAUGAUGAGUGGACGUGUGAUGCGGUUCUUGCCCAACAUCUGACAUUGUUUAAAUAGCGAGGGGAGACGAGAGGAGCCAACCGGCGUACUGUUUAAUGCCAACCGGCUCGCGAACGAACAUGUGGCCGGAGUAAUUAUCCUAGCACACACGCGGGUUUAAUGGUGGAAGGCGGGCAGUCUGCAGGAAUGAGGCGAGGAUGUGUGCUUAGCCGGCGUGCAGCAGGCGGCGCCCUCGGCCGGCGUGCUGCUUCCAUUGCGGAGGCAGUGAGAGGUCGCGUCCGCUCUGCAGCGCAUGAAUGCGGGCAGCUGGCGCAGAGCGGGAACGCGUGCGGGCGAGGGAGGAGGGGGUUUGGGCGGGUGGUCAGAAGAGGUCGUGGGUGUUGUCCGAACGCCUGCAAAGCCCCCCUCCAUGUUUGUCUCCAGUUUGCGGGAGAAAGUACGUCCGGACCGUCUCCAAUGGACCAAUACAGGCCCGCAUUGGAUAGCACAACACGUCCGGACCAUGUGGUCCGGAUGGUUGUGGACAGUUUAAUUGAGGGUCGGCGUUGGAGAUGCCUUAGAGUUUAUGAAUCCAUUGUGUUUUUCUAAUCAUAAAAAAUCACUUACAAUAAGUUAUAAGGAAAGACACGUUUAUAUGUUAGGUUCAGACUCCAGCUUUCGUUUUACAUAUGCUUUAUUCAUCCGACUGAUUCCAAUAGAGUGAGCCUAGCGUUGUUUUUCUGGAAACUCGCGGGAUAAGGAGACAUGCAUACACAUUCUUUCAAGCAAAUCACAUCCAUUUUUUUUAACUCAUUUUUCUUCUUUUAAUAAUAUAAUAGAUCAUUUAUAUUUUUUAUCUGAAACAGUUGACGUGUAAUUUAUAUUGUAAUCUGAGGAUAAUGUUUGGAUUUUACUUUCAAAUAUAUUUGAAAUGGCCAUGAUGGAAUCACAUCCAUUUAUUUUAUUAUUAUUUGAAUUUGAUCCAAAAGAUAAAUAAUGAGUAGAGGUCAUGUCAACUUUUCUGAGAACUUUGCUAAUCAAAAUAUAAAUUGUAUUUAAAAACAUCUAUUUUUUAGCACGCAUGAAAAACAUAACACGUAUCUUUUCACACAUAAUGAACGGUUGUCAUAAGAACUCAUGCCAUGCCACAACCUCCCUCCGACCCUGCCAACAUUGUUGCAGCUGCACUCGCAAGCCUUAGCGUAGAUGAUAAUUUAUACAAUUUGCGUAAAACAAAAUAAGAUCUACAAAUGAAUAGAAGCUAGAACGUACAUUGGCAUGCACACACAUUGCAAGCCAUACUAAGCUGAUAAGUGUUAAUAACUUGUACAACAUAUACAACACUUAAGACAAGUAAAAGCAAUUUGAUGAGUCAUGGUCUAUCAAAGCCACAUUACUAGUCUAAUCCAUCUUAACAGGUCACACAUGAUUAAAAUCUUGUUUGUGUGCAAGUCAAGCUUAUCUAGUUUACAUGUAACAACUUGUAGAACAUUACAAAAUUUAUGUUUGCUAAUAACUUCUAGAACACUACAACACUUGACAUGUAAAAGGAAUUUGAUGAGUCAUGGCCUACUAAAGCAAGUUAUAUUACUAGUCUUAUCUACCAUAACAGGCCACACAAGAUUACAAACCAAGUUCUGUGCCAGCCAUGCUUAUCUAGUUUAUGCGUAACAAUUUGCAGAAAAUUACAAACUUAGUUUCAGAAAAAUAGGCAAUCUAGAUUAGUGUUUGAGCUGUAAAGUGAAUAAAAUGAGUCAUGCGUGUUAUCACACCUUUUUGGUUGUGGAAUGAUAGUGCAACAACAAGGAACUUUAAUGACCAGUUCAAGAAUACACUUGUAAGUAGUGCCACCGAACACAACAUACCAAAUUAUGAUUUUGAGAAGCAUCCAAGCACAUCCACACAAGCAAAUGCCAAUUGUGAAAGAGAUCAUGCCAUGGCAGCUAUAAAUAGGCCCGUAGCAUGACGAUCAUCCUUCCUCAUCCAUCAUUCUCAUAAGUAGAGCGCAUCAUUUAAGCCAAGCAAGCAGUGCUCAAUACAAAUCCACCAUGAAGACCUUUCUCAUCCUUGCCCUCCUUGCUAUUGUAGCAACCACCGCCACAAUUGCAGUUAGAGUUCCAGUGCCACAAUUGCAGCCACAAAAUCCAUCUCAGCAACAACCACAAGAGCAAGUUCCAUUGGUACAACAACAGCAAUUUCCAGGGCAGCAACAACCAUUUCCACCACAACAGCCAUAUCCGCAGCCGCAACCAUUUCCAUCACAACAACCAUAUCUGCAGCUGCAACCAUUUCCGCAGCCGCAACUACCAUAUCCGCAGCCGCAACCAUUUCGACCACAACAACCAUAUCCACAACCGCAACCACAGUAUUCGCAACCACAACAACCAAUUUCACAGCAGCAGCAGCAGCAGCAACAACAACAACAACAACAACAACAGAUCCUUCAACAAAUUUUGCAACAAUAACUGAUUCCAUGCAGGGAUGUUGUAUUGCAACAACACAGCAUAGCGCAUGGAAGCUCACAAGUUUUGCAACAAAGUACUUACCAGCUGGUGCAACAAUUGUGUUGUCAACAGCUGUGGCAGAUCCCCGAGCAGUCGCGGUGCCAAGCCAUCCACAAUGUUGUUCAUGCUAUUAUUCUGCAUCAACAACAACAACAACAACAACAACCGUUGAGCCAGGUCUGCUUCCAACAGCCUCAACAACAAUAUCCAUCAGGCCAGGGCUCCUUCCAGCCAUCUUAGCAAAACCCACAGGCCCAGGGCUCUGUCCAGCCUCAACAACUGCCCCAGUUUGAGGAAAUAAGGAACCUAGCGCUAGAGACGCUACCUGCAAUGUGCAAUGUCUAUAUCCCUCCAUAUUGCACCAUUGCUCCAGUUGGCAUCUUCGGUACUAACUGAGAAUAGAAUAACUCUAGUAGUAGAUAUAUGAUACACCGUUUUCUUAGUCCAUGGUUUGGUCGUUGUAGCGGUGAAAAAAUAAAGUGACAUGCACUAUCAUGUAAGAACCCGAACUAUACUAUUUCAAACAUGGGAAUAAAAGACAAACACAUGUCUUGUCUACAUAUGAUUGUUUGUUUGAGUUCCACUCAUGUGCCCACUCACAAGUUCACCCCUAAUUAUAUAUAUUAUGCAUUAAGUAGAUAUUUAUGUUGCAUUAAUCUAAAGAUAACAAAAUGAGUCUGAAAUUUGAAUUAAAUUGAAGUAUUUCCUUGGACUUUCAAAUGGAGUAUUAUUAAAGUAGUAAGGACUAUCCACAUCCUUGGCUUGCCCUUGAUCAAUUAUUUCCAGAGAAGCAUUCAAUUCAUCAAUCAAUUACAUUGAUUUUUGUGGCUGGUACUUCUCCUCAACAUGAGUAUAUUCAUCGCGGCUACUCCAAAUAGCCAUGAAUGAGGUACCGGUGCUCUGGAGCACUGGUACCUAACUGCUUCUCAUGUGAAGGGGUGCGGGCGCGGGAGAGGUGUUUUUGGUGGGCCAGGGGAGUAAGAAGCGGCCGUGGCAGCGGUCCAGACGCCCACAAAGCCCCGUAGUUUGUUUUUGGUUUACAGGAAAAUGCACAUCCAGACUGGCCUGCGGGCCGAUAUAGGACCGUAUUGGAUGGCAAAACAUGUCCGGAUGGUCGCGAGCGGUUUAAGGGUUAGCUUUUGUAACACCCGGUUAGUUAUGCUAUGGUAAUUCCCUGCUAAUGAUGUCACGUCAGCACGAUUACUGUUGUUAACCUCACAAUGAUUCAAUCCCAUUCAAAUUCAAAUUUAAAAUAAAGGCAAACAUCAAAAGUUUCAAACAUUAAAACUAAAAUCUUCGAGAGGUGAAAAAUAAUGCAUAAGUAAUUAUGGUGGAGAAACCACACUUUUAUAAAAUGUUUAAAUACUCUAAAAAUAAUAAAACAGUGGCUUAAACUAUUAUUUAAAUGCUUUUAAAAUAGUAAAAAUGUUCUAACUAAAUUAAUUGGGUACCAAACUUUUGGUGGCAGUGGUAUAUUUAGUAGAACUAAUUUAGAUGCUAAUAAAACAUAAAAGGAAAGACAAAACAAAUAAAAGUAAAAGGGGGCAACCCUUGGCUGGGCCUCGGCCAAGCUGGGCACUUGGCUAGCUAGGUUGGCCCAACCGCCUCCCUUAACCCCCCACUCCCCAUCGAACCCUAGACCGAUCGCCCCACUUCCCCCCCACCCCCUCGUCAGCCUCCCCACCUCUCGAUCCCAUCUGGAUCGGGGAGGGGAUCGCCUUCAUCGACCCCGUCGCGGUCGCUGGAUCGCCCGCUCGCCCAUCGCCCGCCGGCGUCGCCGGACCUCCUCCCCGUCGCAUGUCUCCGGCUCUCCUCCCCUCUCGCUCCUCUUCCCCGACCCGAUCUAGAUCGGGAAGGGCCAAUGAGCCCAACGCCCCCCUCCAUCGACGCUGUGCUCCAGCACCGCCGCCCGAAGACCUCGCCAUCGCCGGACCUCGCGUCGCCUCCUCGUAUCCCUCCCCGACUCGCCUCCUCAAGCCACGCCGACCCCCUCUCGGCAACGCCGUGAGCCGCACCCGUUUCCCUCCUUCUCUUUCCACCGUGUUCACCGCGCCGCCUGCCGUGCCCCUCGCCGCGCGCACGCCCACCACCGCGCCAGCCCCCGCUCCCGCCCUCUCCUGCACGCUUGUGCGCGCAUGACCCUAGCCGCGCCCACGCCGUGAUCCCCUUGUCCCGCCCGCCUUCGUCCCGCGCUCGCCGCGGCCCCCAUGCUCCCCUGCGCCCUCUUUUGGGGCCGUCGGCUGCCCCUGUCCCGCAGCUCGCUGGCAUGCGUCCCCGCCUGCGCCUCGCCACCGCUCUACUGCUACGCUACUAUUGCGCUGUGGCCGCCGCCGCUUCCCGCUGCUCUGCCAGCGCCAAAGCUCCUGGUUGGCCCUGCCGCUGCUCGCGUUUAACCGCCGGCCUAAGCGGCCUAACCUCCCCCCUCGCUAAUGAACCCCCACCGACCCGCUGACACCGGGACCCACAUCCCCUAAUUAACCAUUUAAUAAAUUAAAACUCUUAAAUUAACAUUAGUGUAUGACAUGUGGGUCCCCUAUUAAUUAAACUGAUUUAAUUAAAAUCUAUUAACUUUGAGUCUAUGACAUAUGGGCCCCACUAAACAUUUGACCAAUCAACGGUCCAGUCAAAUGCUGACCGGACAGUUGACCAGAGGGCCCCGCCAGUCAGCCAAUGUGCUGUUCUGCUGGGUACCUUUCUAAGUACACCUAGCAUUUUGCAUUUACAAUAUUUGUUUUAAAAUAAAUUAGAAUAAUUUCAAAAAAAUAUUAAAACUUUUAAAAUUAAAAUAAAAUAAUCCGUAACUCGGAUGAAAUUACUUUAUACAUGGAAGUUGCUCAAAAAAUGAGACGAAUCCGAAUACACAGUCCGUUCGUCUGCCACGCGUCCCUAGCAUAGCGAACAUGCAACCAUCCCCCUCCGGUUCGACUGUCCGAAAAAUUAUUAUUGCACAUGCCCGCUAAGAGGUUGGCUGUAUAUGACAUGACAACUUCUUAUAGCCGAGCCUUGGCUGUAUUAUUAACCAUGCUCUUAGUGAGGUAGCUAGUAUAUCAUAGACGACUAGCUAGUAUCAGACUAGCCAAAGUGGGAGUAACUUCAGCAGUAACAUCGACUCCAACUCAGCAAACUUCCUUAUGUGGGAGUAAACCGUGCCCAAUGCAAAAUACAAUCCCAGUCGUAAUUUUUUCAGGAAACGUGUGGGAUCCCAAACGAAAAGCACACGUCACUCUUGCGGCAACCGUCGGUGACACCCAAUAAAUCACAAACGGUCUGCAGCAGCUGUAUGUGUGCAAAGGGGCUCCUGAACCGUUUGUGAUAGAACAUUAUCGCAGACGGUAAUUGUUGGCAAACGUGUGCGAUGGAGUCUAGCAUGGCAGACGGGUUACGCAGAAAACUCGUGUGUGAUGGGGCACAAAUCGCACACAGUUCAUAUGUUGGUCCAUGUGCCUUACAUACUAUUUCCCAAAUGGUUUGUUACGACAGACCGUAUCGUUUCAGUGCGUCAUUAGAAACGCUUAAUCACUGAUACCACACGUGCGAAAGAAAUUAGUGCGUGAUGCAUCGCACACGAUUACAUUUUGGAAGGCCUCUGGAUCACUGCUCCAUAUCCCCGACGGUUUCUGGGCCGUGUGGGAAGGACACCCUAUCGCACACACUCACUUGGCGAUGGUUCCAAAUGCUGUCGCAGAAAAGGGUUAAAAACAGUUUGUUUAGGACCGACGCGUACCAGUGUCUAUCUAUCUAUCUAUCUAUCUAUCUAUGUAUCUAUCUAUCUAUCCAUCUAUCUAUCUAUCUAUCUAUCUAUCUAUCUAUCUAUCUAUCUAUCUAUCUCAAUCCACCUAUCUAUCUAUCCAUCUAUCUAUCUCUCCAUCUAUCCAUCUAUCUAUCCAUCUAUCCAUCCAUCUACUAUCCAUCUAUCUAUCCAUCCAUCCAUCUAUCUAUCCAUCCAUCCAUCUAUCUAUCUAUNNNNNNNNNNNNNNNNNNNNNNNNNNNNNNNNNNNNNNNNNNNNNNNNNNNNNNNNNNNNNNNNNNNNNNNNNNNNNNNNNNNNNNNNNNNNNNNNNNNNNNNNNNNNNNNNNNNNNNNNNNNNNNNNNNNNNNNNNNNNNNNNNNNNNNNNNNNNNNNNNNNNNNNNNNNNNNNNNNNNNNNNNNNNNNNNNNNNNNNNNNNNNNNNNNNNNNNNNNNNNNNNNNNNNNNNNNNNNNNNNNNNNNNNNNNNNNNUCUAUGUAUCCAUUUAUCCAUUGAUCCAUCUAUCGAUCCAUCCAUCCAUCCAUCUAUCCAUCAAUCUAUCUAUCCAUGUAUCCAUGUAUCCAUCUAUCCAUCUAUCGAUCUAUCCAUCCAUCUAUCUAUCUAUCUAUCCAUCUAUCCAUCUAUCGAUCUAUCCAUCUAUCUAUCUAUCCAUCCAUCUAUCGAUCUAUCGGUCUAUCCAUCUAUCGAUCUAUCCAUCUCUCCAUCUACCCAACUAUCCAUCUAUCCAUCUAUUCAUCUACCGAUCUAUCUAUCCAUCUAUCUAUCUAGCUAUCUAGCUAUCUAGCUAUCUAUCUAUCUAUCUAUCUAGCUAUCUAGCUAUCUAUCUAUCUAGUUAUCUAGCUAUCUAUCUAUCUACCUACCUACCUACCUACCUACCUACCUAUCUAUCUAUCUAUCUAUCUAUCUAUCUAUCUAUCUAUCUAUCUAUCUAUCUAUCUAUCUAUCUAUCUAUCUAUCUAAAGGAAAUAUGCCCUAGAUGCAAUAAUAAAGUUGUCAUUUAUAGUUCGUUAUAUCAUGAUAAACUAGCGGAGUCACCCGCGCAUUUGCGCGGCUAGAUUGACUACAUAUAUUGUUAUAUUUGGGAUUAUUUUUCUAUGCCAAUUUUAUGGCCUCUUACUCAGAUAUUAUCUAAUUGAAUUUACCACCACCAUAUGUUAUAUCCAUAGAUUAUAAUGAAAAGGCAACUUCCGACGAAACAUGGACAGAUUAUUGAGUGCUCAGAAGACGGACGCAAUAUCAUAUAUAGACUUCUAUACCAAUCUUCAUGGUUCCCAUCUUUGAUCCUCUCCUCGUCCCUUGGUAUCUAUCUUUGCACCCAAUAUGUCUUUGGAGUUCCAAGAAUUGAAUCUUAGCAUGAAUGGCUUCAAUGUGUACCAAAUGUUCUCUUGUUCCUCCCAAAUUAAUUACUGGUUGCAUUCUUAGUUGCUUUGACAUUCUUGGUUAAUGCAAUUUCUUGCCUACCAAUAUAUGCAUCCACACACGAUCAUAUUUAUAUGACCACUUACCUCUGUAUUCUGGUAUUUGUGCUUCAGAAUUUUUCUCUCAUUCAGUUUAUUCAUAGAUUAAAAACGUCGAUCGUUUCUUUAUUGGUUUGCAUUAUCUUGUUUGCCGAACGUAAGCAUCCACACAUGCUCGUCAUGAUAUGAUUGGUCAUCAUUGUAUAUUUGUAUUUGUGUGUUGAUAGCUUAAGGAUUUUCUCGGAUUCACUUCAUAGUUUAAGGAUUUUCUCGCGUUCAAUUUAUUCUACCUUAUUCAUUUUCAUGUUUCUUUAUUGCAUUUAUAUCAAUUCUUACAAUAUAUUUUCCAAGAUAUGAACUCAACUACUAAUUACGUAGUUUUUCAUCAAAAAUUACAUGUAAAAAUGUUACAAAUGCAUAAACAUGAUAAAAAUAUAUAUCAUAUUCCAUUGAGAGAUCGCCCAUUUAAAAAAAACACGUUGACUUACAAAAAGGACAAUUCAAGCUGCAUGUACGUCCGACUCAUGUUUACCUGACAAUGUCGAUGUUGAUUUCAGCAGUAAAUGAGCUGUGUGUGACCUUUGCGCUUUCCGGUAUUCUUCUAACCUGUGUGCUUUAUGAUCAGUUUGUUGUGCUUAGUACUGGACACUUGAGUAUACUAUCAUAUUUGGUACAAAUAAAUCUGAACUACUAUAGUUAUGAUCCACUGUAUAGUUAAUGGUGGUGGUAAUUAAUAUAUGUGGUUAAAUACUUGCGCUCCUUAGGUGGGGAGUUGGAUUUGUAUUUCCCUAAAAUAAAUUUCAGAUUUCGUAAUAGUGGUGAAGCCAGCCGGAAGAACCUCUGCGUCAUUAUUAAUUUUGGUGAUAUUUUUCUUCAUAGUGUAGAAUAAUUUUAGUGCUUAUUCCGCAAAAAAUAUGGCCUCAACUGACCCCAUAGCUUGUAUGUUGCGCCACCACUGUUUCCUAUAUCCUAUUACAUCCGUUGUUUUUAGAUCUUGAUGCAUAACUUUGACAAUAUUUAAUAGAUAUGUGUCUGUAUAAAAAAUUAUAAAUGCUAUGAUAAUUUGAUUAAUUAUGAUGAAUAAAAUGUUAUUGCUCUGACUUGAUCCCUCUAGAAUUUUCCAAAAUUUCACAUUACAGUUGUAGUAGUGCAUGCUACCUCUUGAGCACUGCGUUAGUUUUCCCUUGAAGAGGAAAGGGUGAUGCAGUAAAGUAGCGUCAGUAUUUCCCUCGGUUUUUGAGAACCAAGGUAUCAAUCCAGUAGGAGGCCACGCAUGAGUCCCUCGCACCUACACAAACAAAUAAAAUCCUCGCAACCAACGCAAUAAAGGGGUUGUCAAUCCCUUCACGGUCACUUACGAAAGUGAGAUCUGAUAGAUUUGAUAAGAUAAUAUUUUUGGUAUUUUUAUGAUAAAGAUGCAACGUAAAGAAAGCAAAAUAAAAAAAGCGCCAGAAAUAGCUUGUUGACGGGAGAUUAAAAUAGACCGGGGGGCCAUAGGUUUCACUAGUGGCUUCUCUCGAGAGCAUAAGUAUUUUGGUGGGUAGACAAAUUACUGUUGAGCAAUUGACAGAAUUGAGCAUAGUUAUGGGAAUAUCAAGGUAUGAUCAUGUAUAUAGGCAUCACGUCCGAGGCAAGUAGCCCGACUCCUGCCUGCAUCUACUACUAUUACUCCACACAUCGACUGCUAUCCAGCAUGCAUCUAGAGUAUUAAUUUCAAAAGAACAGAGUAACGCUUUAAGUAAGAUGACAUGAUGUAGAGGGAUAAACUCAUGCAGUAUGAUAUAAACCCCAUCUUGUUAUCCUCGAUGGCAACAAUACAAUACGUGCCUUGCUGCCCCUACUGUCACUGGGAAAGGACACCGCAAGAUUGAACCCAAGCUAAGCACUUCUCCCAUCGCAAGAAAGAUCAAUCUAGUAGGCCAAACCAAACUGAUAAUUCGAAGAGACUUGCAAAGAUAACCAAUCAUACAUAAAAGAAUUCAGACAAGAUUCAAAUAUUGUUCAUAGAUAAACUUGAUCAUAAACCCACAAUUCAUCGGUCUCAACAAACACACCGCAAAAGAAGAUUACAUCGAAUAGAUCUCCACAAGAGAGGCGGAGAACAUUGUAUUGAGAUCCAAAAAGAGAGAGGAAGCCAUCUAGCUAAUAACUAUGGACCCGAAGGUCUGAGGUAAACUACUCACACAUCAUCGGAGAGGCUAUGGUGUUGAUGUAGAAGCCCUCCAUGAUCGAUGCCCCCUCCGGCGGAGCUCCGGAAAAGGCCCCAAGAUGGGAUCUCACGGGUACAGAAGGUUGCGGCGAUGGAAUUAGGUUUUUGGCUCCGUAUCUGGUAGUUUGGGGGUACGUAGGUAUAUAUAGGAGGAAGAAGUACGUCGGUGGAGCAACGUGGGCCCCACGAGGGCGCGCCCCCCUACCUCGUGCCUUCCUGGUAGAUUUCUUGACGUAGGGAACAAGUCCUCUAGAUAACGUUCGUUCCCAAAAUCACGUUUCCGAAGGUUUCAUUCCGUUUGGACUCGGUUUGAUAUUCUUUUUCUGUGAAACUCUGAACUAGGCAAAAAACAGCAAUUCUGGGGUGGGCCUCCGAUUAAUAGGUUAGUCCCAAAAAUAAUAUAAAAGUGUAUAAUAAAGCCCAUUAAUGUCUAAAACAGAAUAUAAUAUAGCAUGGAACAAUAAAAAAUUAUAUAUACGUUGGAGACGUAUCAAGCAUCCCCAAGCUUAAUUCUUGCUCGUCCUCGAGUAGGUAAAUGAUAAAAACAGAAUUUUUAAUGUGGAAUGCUACUUGGCAUAAUUUCAAUGUAAUUCUCUUAAUUGUGGUAUGAAUAUUCAGACCCGAAAGAUUCAAGACAAAAGUUUAAUAUUGACAUAAAAAUAAUAAUACUUCAAGCAUACUAACUAAGCAAUUAUGUCUUCUCAAAAUAACAUGGCCAAAGAAAGUUAUCCCUACAAAAUCAUAUAGUCUAGCUAUGCUCUAUCUUCACCACACAAAGUAUUUAAAUUAUGCACAACCCGGAUGACAAGCCAAGCAAUUGUUUCAUACUUUUGAUGUUCUCAAACUUUUUCAAUCUUCACGCAAUACAUGAGCAUGAGCCAUGGACAUAGCACUAUAUGUGGAAUAGAAUGGUGGUUGUGGAGAAGACAAAAAAGGAGAAGAUAGUCUCACAUCAACUAGGCGUAUCAACGGGCUAUGGAGAUGCCCAUUAAUAGAUAUCAAUGUGAGUGAGUAGGAAUUGCCAUGCAACGGAUGCACUAGAGCUAUAAGUAUAUGAAAGCUCAACAAAAGGAACUAAGUGGGUGUGCAUCCAACUCGCUUGCUCAUGAAGACCUAGGGCAUUUUGAGGAAGCCCAUCAUUGGAAUAUACAAGCCAAGUUCUAUAAUGAAAAUUUGCCACUAGUACAUGAAAGUGAUAUCAUAGGAGACUCUCUAUCAUGAAGAUCAUGGUGCUACUUUGAAGAACAAGUGUGGUAAAAGGAUAGUAACAUUGUCCCUUCUCUCUUUUUCUCUCAUUUUUUUAUUUGGGUCUUUUAUCCUUUUUUAUGGCCUCUUUUUUUUAGUCCGAAGUCUCAUCCCGACUUGUUGGGGAAUCAUAGUCUCCAUCAUCCUUUCCUCACUUGGGACAAUGCUCUAAAAAAUGAUGAUCAUCACACUUUUAUUUACUUACAACUCAACAAUUACAACUCAAUACUUAGAACAAAAUAUGACUCCAUGUGAAUGCCUCCGGCGGUAUACCGUGAUAUGCAAUGAAUCAAGAGUGACAUGUAUGAAAGAAUUAUGAACGGUGGCUUUGCCACGAAUACAAUGUCAACUACAUGAUCAUGGAAAGCAAUAUGACAAUGAUGGAGUGUGUCAUAAUAAACUGAACGGUGGUAAGUUGCAUGGCAAUAUAUCUCGGAAUGGCUAUGGAAAUCCUAUGGUAGGUAGGUAUGGUGGCUGUUUUGAGGAAGGUAUAUGGUGGGUGUAUGAUACCGGCGAAAAGUGCGCGGUAUUAGAGAGGCUAGCAAUGGUGGAAGGAAGAAAGUGCGUAUAAUCCAUGGACUCAACAUUAGCCAUAAAGAACUCAUAUACUUAUUGCAAAAAUCUACAAGUUAUCGAAGCAAAGUAUUACCCGCAUCAUCCUAGGGGGAUAGAUUGGUAUGAAAAGACCAUCGCUCAUCCCAGACCGCCACUCAUAAGGAAGACAAUCAAUAAAUAAAUCAUGCUCCGACUUCAUCACAUAACGGUUCACCAUACGCGCAUGCUAAGGGAAUCACAAACUUUAACACAAAUAUUUCGCAAAUUCAAAACUACUCAACUAGCAUGACUCUAAUAUCACCAUCUCCAUAUCUCAAAACAAUUAUCAAGUAUCAAACUUCUCAUAGUAUUCAACACACUCAUAAGAUUUUUUUACUAAUCUUGAGUGCCUAUCAUAAUUAAAGCAAAUUACCACGCUGUUUUGUAGGACUAUCAAAAUAAUCUAAGUGAAUCAUGAGAGAACAAUAGUUUCUAUAAAACAAAACCACCACCGUGCUCUAAAAGACAUACGUGAAGCACUAGAGCAAAAACUAUAUAGCUCAAAAGAUAUAAGUGAAGCACAUAGAGUAUUCUAACAAUUUCCGAAUCAUGUGUGUCUCUCUCAAAAGGUGUGUACUGCAAGGAUUAUUGUGGCAAACUAACAAAUAAAUACUUCAAAUAAUACAAGACGCUCCAAGAAAAACACAUAUCAUGUGGUGAAUAAAAAUAUAGCUCCAAGUAAAGUUACCGAUGGAAGUAGACGAAAGAGGGGAUGCCUUCCGGGGCAUCCCCAAGCUUUGGCUUUUAGGUGUCCUUAGAUUAACUUGGGGUGCCAUGGGCAUCCCCAAGCUUAGGCUCUUGCCACUCCUUGUUUCAUAAUCCAUCAAAUCUUUCACCCAAAACUUGAAAACUUCACAACACAAAACUCAGCAGAAAAUCUCGUGAGCUCCGUUAGCAAAAGAAAACAAAACACCACUUCAAGGUACUGUAAUGAACUCAUUCUUUAUUUAUAUUGGUGUUAAACCUACUGUAUUCCAACUUCUCUAUGGUUUAUAAACUAUUUUACUAGCCAUAGAUUCAUCAAAAUAAGCAAACAACACACGAAAAACAUAAUCUGUCAAAAACAGAACAGUCUGUAGUAAUCUGUAACUAACGCAAUUUUCUGGGACACCAAAAAUUGACCCAAAAUAGGAAGACCUAGACAAUUUUUUUAUUGAUCAGCAGCAAUUGGGAUCAAUAUUUUAUCACGUCCUGGUGAUUUUUAACAAUUAUUUUCGUGAACAGAAAGUUUCUAGAAUUUUCAGCAAGAUCAAAUAACUAUCAUCCAAGAAGAUCCUAUAGGUUAAACUUGGCACAAACACUAAUUAAAACAUAAAAACACAUGUAACCAGAGGCUAGAUCAAAUAUUUAUUCCUAAACAAAAGAAAAAAUCAUAAAAAACUAAAAAUAAAAUUGGGUUGCCUCCCAACAAGCGCUAUCGUUUAAUGCCCCUAGCUAGGCAUAAUAGCAAUGAUAGAUCUAGGUAUUGCCAUCUUUGGUAGGCAAUCCAUAAGUGGCUCUCAUAAUAGAUUCAUAAGGUAAUUUUAUUUUCUUUCUAGGGAAGUGUUCCAUGCCUUUCCUUAAUGGAAAUUGGAAUCUAAUAUUCCCUUCCUUCGUAUCAAUAAUUGCACCAAUCGUUCUAAGGAACGGUCUACCAAGAAUAAUAGGACAUGAAGGAUUGCAAUCUAUAUCAAGAACAAUAAAAUCUACUGGCACAUAAUUCCUAUUUGCAACAAUAAGAACAUCAUCAAUUCUUCCCAUAGGUUUCUUAAUGGUGGAAUCCGCAAGGUGCAAGUUUAAAGAGCAAUCAUCAAAAUCACGGAAACCUAGCAAAUCGCAUAGAAUCUUUGGAAUCGUGGAAACACUAGCACCCAAAUCACACAAAGCAUAGCAUUCAUGAUCUUUAAUUUUAAUUUUAAUAGUAGGUUCCCACUCAUCAUAAAGUUUUCUAGGGAUAGAAACUUCCAACUCAAGUUUUUCUUCAUAAGAUUGCAUCAAAGCAUCAACGAUAUGUUUAGUAAGGCUUUAUUUUGACUAUAAGCAUGUGGAGAAUUUAGCACGGAUUGCAACAAGGAAAUACAAUCUAUCAAAGAGCAAUUAUCAUAAUUAAAUUCCUUGAAAUCCAAAAUAGUGGGUUCAUUAAUAUCUAGAGUUUUGAUUUCUUCAAUCCCACUUUUACCAUUUUUUGCAUCAAGAUCUAAAAACUCCGAAUUUUUGGAACGCCUUCUAGGUAGAGGUGGAUUAUAUUCAGUCCCAUCAUUAUCAAGAUUCAUAUUGCAAAACAAAGAUUUAAUAGGGGACACAUCAAUAACUUUUAGAUCUUCAUCUUUAUUUUCAUAGAAACUAGAAGAACACGCUUUCACAAAACAAUCUUUCUUAGCACGCAUCCUAGCGGUUCUUUCUUUGCACUCAUCAAUGGAAAUUCUCAUGGCCUUGAGAGACUCAUUGAUAUCAUGCUUAGGAGAAAUUCUAUCAGCGUUCCUAGCCAAUUCAUCAACUUUAAGCAAUUUUUCUUCAAGCAAAGCAUUGAAAUUGUUUUGCGAAUUCAUAAAUUCUUUAACACUAGUCUCAAAUUCAGAAGGCAUCUUAUUAAAAUUUCCAUAAUAAUUGUUGUAGGAAUUACCAUAAUUAUUAGAGGAAUUACUAGGAUACGGCCUUGGAUUAAAGUUUCCUCUAUACGCGUUGUUACCAAAAUUAUUCCGACCAACAAAAUUCACAUCCAUAGAUUCAUUAUUAUUCUCAAUCAAAGUAGACAAAGGCAUAUCAUUAGGAUCAGAAGAAACACUUUUAUUAGCAAAUAAUUUCAUAAGUUCAUCCAUCUUUCCACUCAAAACAUUAAUUUCUUCUAUCAUGCACUUUUUAUUAGUGGUUUUUUCGGUGUGCCAUUGAGAAUAAUUAACCAUAAUAUUAUCUAGGAGUUUAGUAGCUUCUCCUAAAGUGAUUUCCAUAAAAGUGCCUCCCGCGGCCGAAUCUAAAAGAUUUCUAGAAGAAAAAUUCAAUCCGGCAUAAAUUUUUUGUAUAAUCAUCCACAAAUUCAAACCAUGAAUAGGGCAAUUACGUAUCAUUAAUUUCAUCCUCUCGCAAGCUUGUGCAACAUGUUCAUGAUCAAGUUGCUUAAAAUUCAUAAUAUCGUUUCUAAGAGAGAUGAUCUUAGCGGGAGGAAAAUACUUAGAGAUAAAAGCAUCUUUGCACUUAUUUCAAGAAUCACUACUAUUUUUAGGCAAAGACAAAAACCAAGCUUUAGCACGAUCUCUAAGCGAAAAAGGAAAUAGCUUCAAUUUAACAAUAUCAUUGUCCACAUCUUUCUUCUUUUGCAUAUCACACAAAUCAACGAAGUUGCCAUGUCUAGGAAUGCUUGAAGCUUCAAAGAUUUCCUAUAAUACAACAUGCCUCUAACUAUUCACAAUAAGAAAAACAUGUAAAUGCGGAAUCAACCAAAUGUUGGUAAAUUGUAGUUGAUUUUGGCCAAGCAAACGUCAGAUGAAAGAAACAUACAUGAGUGAACAUCACGAUUGGAUGUUUUAUUCAAAUUUAACAGGUUAAACUCACCAAAUCCAUCUGGAUAUUUAGUAUUAAACUUCAACAGAUGGUGAGUUGUAGCUAGAUUCACAACACUGAAGCAAAAUUCCAUCUGCCACGGUUACAUCACACCAUCUUUUCAUCGUUACUAUUUAAAUUCCAAAUGCCUGCAACUCAUUUUUUUGUUACGAUGUAUGCAUGAUUUUUAACUCAAGAGGAAGAGGGGAAACUAAAUCCAAGAAAAGAACACCAAGGAAGCAUCCAAAAUAGAGAAAGGAAAAAUCCAAAAUAGAGGCAGAAUCGAAGGGAAGAAACCCCAUAAAAAAUAGGAGAUCAAACGGUGAAAAAAAUCUAAGAGUCAAACAAUUCCAGGUAAGACCAAAUCGACGACAAAAUAGCACAAGAGGGACUCACAUUAACAGGUAUACCAAUUCAGAAAGAAGUGUAAAGCGAACAGUGCAAUGGACCACUAGUAUAAAUUGGCUGUACACAAACAUGGGACUUAAACAGGAACUGCGAGAUGCAGGGUUCACGUGCAAACCCAAAAAACGGAAAACUGAAACGCACAACAAGAUUUUAUCUUCAUAUAUAUAUAUUAUGAGCUAUUGGCUUUUUAGUCAGGUAAAUAUCAUUCUUAAGACUACGGAAAACAGCAGGCGGCGAAGAAAACAUCUAUUGAUGAGAACUAUACACAUACUUAAGAAGGAAGUGACAUCUAUGGUAGCAGAACAUAUAUCAAGCUGUUGCAGCUACAUUAGCAGUUUAGCACAGUUCCUCCAUAAUACACAGGCUAGUGUAAUUUCACAAAUACAAUAAGCUAACAAUAUAUAUUUGGUAGAUGGAAAUGGCUGGAUCAUGACCAAUAUACCAUUACACAUCCGAUGAUGCAAAUAAACCACAAUAGAACAUGUAUUUGGCGAAACCUCCAUACUGCAAUAUCAAACAUGAAUUGAAAUUAACAAUCUAGCAAAAAAACAUGACAGAUGCAGUCUUGGUCAUUUUUCCUUUUGUGACAUCCCCUAAAAAAAGUAAAAACAAUGUUGUUCGUAUUUUACCAGAGAUACACUGAGCUGGGACAAAUUGGUCUGAAAUAAAAUAUGAUGGCUUCGGAGGAUUCGGAAGGGAAGAAAUUUGCUUUCUUCCAACAUAUAUGGUCUGCUGAACUAAACUUCGUUUCAGCGGGCUUUGCCAAAAAUCUGUAACUGCAAACAUCAACUUGUGUGCCCUUCCUACGUCAAACUUUAAACCUGAGCUCAGUGUACUUUAUGAGUGUUAAGUGUACUUUCUAAAUAGCAGAGAAACCAUAACAUCUAAGCACAACCCAGCAACUUGUACAAGCUAACAUCAAAUCUGAAAGAAGAAAUGUCGAGAACAGGUGAAGGUACCAUGAUCCACGACUGAGCAAAGUUAUCUAUUAUCCUCGGUGAAUAUCAUAAAUUAGGAUCAACUACGCUGAAGAACAAACGGGAAAGGAACCUAGAAAGAUCUUUUGCCGGUAGAAUAUAACUGAUACACUAUCCUCAUUCUCGAGAUCAAGGUCGUUUCUUGAAUUGCAGUUUCCUCACUGUAGUAUGGGGUCAUUACACUGCGAAGAACAAAGUGUCAUAUGAAUCAUUUAGAGCCCAAUCUUUUUCACUGAAACUCUUAUGAUCACAUAACGAAUUUAAACAUAAGGUUUAUUAGAUAUUUGUUGUUGUGAAUAGAUAAUAUAUUUCUGGUGUUGACAAUGUUUUGAUUAUGGAUGCACUUCAAGAUGGGUGGCACAGAUUCUGUUGUACAGGCCUCCACCUGGAAUUUCAUCACUUGUUAUUUUUGUUUUAGAAUGUCUAGGUGCAUUUUUCCUUUAAGGUGGAAACAGAUGUACUUGUAUAAGCAACAAGAAUACAAAGCGCCACUGCCAUACAUUGUGGAAGUUCAGUGCUUCUGUUUACAAAAUCUGCUUCCCAAAACAGAAGGUUUAUAAUUUUUUAUUACAAUCAAGCGGACAUGAGCUGAUGAGUACAGAUGUAGACAUGUACUGAGAGCAGCACCCUUUCAAAAGUGGAUCAUUUACAUGUUGGAUAGUUUGAUGGUCUGAAAUUAAUGGUCGUGUUUCAGAAUUGUUAUCGAAUAGUAGGGGAUAUAUAUUAACUUCUGAAAUUAGUGGCUGUUUGUCAGAACUGUUAUCGAAUAGUAGGGCACAUAUAUUAACUUCAAUAAGUGGACUAAUAUCUUUGGAUUCGCUGUGAGGAAAGAUUACCAAAACAAAACAGAAGUGAGUGCGACGACCCAGAUGAGGGCGCUCUUGAGCCUCUUCCCGACCGACCUAGAUGCAGGAGCAGAACACGGCGGAUCUAAUCAGCCAACCAAUAAAGCCGAGGAAGUAAGGGAGGAAGAAGACUGACUUGUCCUGGUCGCCCUCGUAGUUAGAACAUGGCGAACAGGAUGACGAGGAAGACGAGGACAGCGUCGAGGAUGUAGACGACGAGCCAGAGCAUGUUCAUGGGCAGGAUCAAGCAUGGGCAGGAUAAGGGCGCAGGCCCCGUUGUAGGCGGCGUGCUUGCAGGCCUGGCGGUUGGCGACGUCGGCGGGGAGCAUGAGGAUGGAGAGGACGGCGACGGUGAUGCCGAGCACGAUGACGAGCUUGAGGAAGUAGGCCUGGUUGGCAUCAUCCGGGUGCUGGUAGUUGACGAGCAGGCAGACGCUGACGAGGAGCACCAGGAUGCUGACCACCGCCGCCACGAUCACUAGCGCCACGUUAAAAAACCCAUAUCCUCGGGGCUCCGGUCCCGGUUCCGGCCCGCCGCCUCGCCCCCGUUGGUCGGUCAGAUCUCUCUGUCCCUAGAGGCGGGGGAUACAGGCUAGGGUUUGGGCGUGGGCGGGGAAUAGGCUGCUAUGGUGCCGGCAGCGGGGCGUGGAGGAGAGAAGGAUUAGGAGGAAUAAUUCACCACACUUUGAUUAACCUCUCGGCUGGGUCUUAUGUACAGAUUACAGGGCCAGCCAGGGAGAUCAUGAGGUGAUCCACUACCUGGGAUCGUGCGCCACGAUCACUACAUGCGUGCGCCACGAUCAUAUACACACACGCUACACCUAGUGUCUACGCAACUACGGUAUAGCAGUACGGUACAGUCUAACACCCCCCCCCCCCCGCAGUCGUGACGUCGUCGGCGGCGACGCAAAGACUGGACCGGAACUCAGAGAAAACAUCCGAUGGCAGGCCUUUGGUCAUGAUGUCCGCGAGUUGUUGGCGCGUGGGGAUGUGAAGAACACGGAAGUGGCCGAGGGCGACGCGCGCCCGCACGAAAUGGAUGUCCAGCUCCACAUGCUUAGUGCGGCGAUGAUGCAUCGGAUUGGCUGACAGGUAGACUGCGGACACAUUGUCACAGUACACCAGUGCUGCCUUGGUCACUGGAGCGGAGAGCUCGCCGAGAAGCUGGCGGAGCCAGAUGCAUUCAGCGACCGCGUUGGCGACGCCGCGGUAUUCAGCUUCGGCGCUGGAGCGCGAUACGGUCGCCUGGCGCUUGGAGGACCAGGAGACGAGAGCAUCGCCGAGGAAGACGCAGAAGCUCGACGUGGAGCGUCGGGUGUCGGGGCAGCCGGCCCAGUCCGCGUCGGUGAACGCAAGGACGUCGAGCGUGGUCGAGGCGUGAAGAUGAAGCCCGAGUGCGCAGGUGCCCUUCACGUACCGGAGCACGCGCUUGACGAGCGCGAGGUGGCAUUCGCGCGGGUCAUGCAUGUGCAAGCAGAUUUGCUGGACGGCGUAGGCGAUCUCUGGACGCGUGAUGGUGAGGUACUGCAGGGCCCCGGCGAUGCUCCGAUAGGCCGAGGGGUCGUCGACGCAGGGCCCAUCGGCUGAGAGGAGUUUGCUCUUCGUGUCGAUGAGUGUCGGGGAAGGGCGGCAGGUGUCCAUGCCGGCGCGUUCCAGGAGUUCGUCGGCAUAUUGUUGUUGCGACAGGAAGAAGCCAGCUCGGGUGCGGGUGACGCGGAUGCCGAGGAAGAAGGCGAGCGAGCCCAGGUCCUUCAUGGCGAAUUCGCCUGUGAGGCGCUGGAUGACAUGGUGAAGCACGCGUGACGAGGACGCGGUGAGCACGAUGUCGUGGAUGUAGAUGAGGAGGAACGCCAUGUCGUUGCCGUGCCGGAAGGUGAACAGCGACGAGUCCGAACGCGUAGCUGCGAAGCCAAUGGAGCGGACGAAGCCGGCGAAGCGGAGGAACCAGGCACGGGGCGCCUGCUUGAGCCCGUACAAGGACUUGGAGAGGCGGCAGACGUGCUCUGGUUUGUCGGGGUCGACGAAUCCGGCGGGCUGGAGGCAGUAGACUUCCUCCUCCAAGUUGCCGUGGAGGAAGGCGUUGGAGACGUCGAGGUGGUGCACCGGCCAGCCGCGCGACGCGGCCAUAGUGAGCACAGUGUGGAUCGUCGCUGGCUUGACGACGGGGGAGAACGUCUCGCCGUAGUCGACGCCGGCACGCUGAUGAAAGCCCCGCACGACCCAGCGUGCUUGCUAGCGGGCCAGCGCACCGUCGGCGUCGUUUUUGUGCUUGAAGAUCCACUUCCCUGUGAUCAGGUUGGCGCCGGGGGGGCGGGGCACCAGCUCCCAUGUGCGAUUGCGCACGAGCGCAUCGUACUCAGCACGCAUGGCACCGAGCCAGUUCGGGUCGUGAACAGCAGCGCGAACCGAACGCGGCACCGGCGACACCGAUGAUGAGGUAGAGGCGGUGGCCGCGUCGUAGUAGCGCGGGUUGGGGCGGAAGAUGCCGCGCUGGGCACGCAUGACCAUGGGCACAGGAGGCGCCGGUGCGCGGGGCGCCGUUGGUCGCGCGCUCGGAGACGAGCUGUCGGAGGAGCCACUGGCGGAGUUGUCGGAGGAGCCGCUGGCGGAGGCGAAGACAGGCGGACCUGGCGCGGAUGGGCACGUCGAGGACGGAGCAGAGCCGCCAUCGGAAGCGCCCGCAGCGCACCGCGAGCUAACGCGGCGCGCCCCGCUGGUUGGCGAUGAUGAGCGGGGCAGGCUGGUGAUGGAGAUCGGGCGCGCCGGCAGGACGGGUGACAUGCUGCUGUCAGGCACCGGUGGAAGCGCAGGCAGCGCAGGAGGCCGGACGGCGAGCGGGAUCUGCAGGGUAGAGGGUACGACGGGUGGCGUAGGCGACGGGGAAGAGGAUGCGAACGGGAAAACGUGGUCGUGGAAGAGAACGUGGCGAGACGUGAGGACACAGCGAGAGGUGAGGUCAAAGCAGCGAAAACCACGAUGAUCGGGAGGGUACCCGAGGAAGACGCAGGCGAUAGAACGUGGCUCGAGCUUAUGGCGGGUGGUGGCGGUGACGUUCGGAUAGAUGCGGAGUAAUUUGUGCGACGCCGAGCAGGAGUUCAUGCGGAGUGCAGGGCGCCGAGGCGCGGCAGGGCCGAUGAUUGAGCAGGUAGGUCGAGGUGUUGAGAGCCUCUGCCCAGAAGCGAGCGGGCAUGUGCGCAUGACAGAGAAGCACACGAACGCCGUCGUUGAUCGUGCGGAGAACUCGCUCGUCCUUGCCGUUCUGCUGACUGGUGUAUGGGCAGGUGAGACGGAAGUGUGUGCCGUGGCGAGCAAGCAGAGAGCGCACAGCUGCGCUGUCGAAUUCACGACCAUUGCCCGUUUGCAGUGCAAGUAUGGGUAACUGAAACUGAGUCUGAACAUAGGCAAAGAAAUCAACAAGUAUGGGAAGAACUUCAGACAUGUGUUUCAGAGGGAAAGUCCAGACAUAGUGACUGAAAUCAUCUAGUACAACUAAGUAAAACUGAUAGCCGGAUAUGCUUACAACGGGAGCGGUCCAUACAUCAAGGUGUAAAAGCUGGAAAGGAAAGAAACUAGCAGUGGUGGAUGUCUGAAACGGGAGCCAGGUGUGUUUGCCAACACGACAGGCAUGACAGACAGGCGGAUCACGGCAGAACUCCAGGGACUGAUCGGCAGCAACGGUGCGGAGUGCGGCAGCCCCUGGGUGGCCGAGACGUUGAUGCCACAGGUCGGUCGUGGCGGCGCCGGCGAAGAUGCCCGGGGAAUGGACGGAUGGCCGCACCACGGGAUAGAGAUCGCCGUCGGAGUCACAUCGGAGAAUCACUACCCUGGUUCGUAGGUCCUUGACAGAGAAACCACGAGCGUCAAAUUCAACAGAAACGGGGUAGGAACGACAAAGCUGCCGAACUGAAAGUAGGUUUUUGACGAGAGAUGGAGAGACGAGAACGUUGCGGAGAGGAAUGGGGGAAGUGCUGGUGAUCAGCGCGCCCGUGCCAACGUGGGUGAUGGGCAGGCGGUCACCACUGCCCACGAUGAUAGAUGCAGUAGUAGAGGACGGGCGAGUGGAGAGGAGAUUACCAGGGGAGGACGUCAUGUGCGCCGCGGCGCCGGAGUCGAGGUACCACUCCGGUGCGCUGCCAGAGGAGGAAGGGCUGGCCGAGGCGCUGUGGAGGGCGGCCUGGAGCGAGGCCAUGUCCCAUGGCUGGUGGGUUGCAGUCGACGAGCUGGCGCCGGGGUGCCCGUAGCCUGACAGGACGUCGGAGACGGGUGGAGUGACGCCGUAGCCGGGGAGGGUAGCGCCGUAGCCGUAUGGUGCAGCCGGCGACGGGGCGGCGAACAUGGCCUGCUGGUACGGCGUACCAGGGCGGGGGCCGAGCACUUCAGCUCCAGCCGCGCGCCAAGGCAUCGGCCAAGCCUGGACCAUGCCGGUCCAUGCGUUUGUACCGGGUGCAGGCGUGGGGUACGCUGGGGGAGGGCGGGGAGCCUGGGAGGACGGCGUGGGCGGGCCACCAAUGCCGUUGCCACGUCUGGGGCGGCGUCCGCGCCCACGCCCUUGGUUGGUGUUGCUGGGCGGGGGUGUGGGUGGUGUAGGAGAGCCGCCACGCCCGGCGACGAGAGCGUGCGCAGACUGCUGGCGAGUGGUCGACUGCUCUGCUCGGUGUUCCUCAAGCAGGACGAAGGAGCGCACCUGCAGGAACGACGGGAGCGGGACCUGCGAGGUGAUGUGAGGGAUGGCGGAGUGGAACUGCCGGUUCAGACCGCGGAGCAGGUUGAAGACCUGCCGCGAGUCGGUUACCGGCUGCCCGAGGUGGCGGAGUUGAUCCGUGAACGACUUCAUCUUGGUGCAGUACACCAUGAUCGACAUGUCGCCCUGAACGAUAGCGUGGUACUCGGCGUCGAGGUAGACAGCGCGAGCGAGGUGGUUGUCGCGGAAGAUUCCAUCGACCGCAGUCCAGACGGCCAGAGCAGUGUCGUCCGGCUGCAUGACGGCGUCGAGCAGGUCCGGCGAUAUGGUGGUGUAGAACCAGUGGACGACGACGUGAUCAGCCAUGCCCCACUCGGGAUCAUCGUGGCGGUGGAUGGCCGUGGCGCCGAACAUGCCGAUGACGGUGUCGAAGUGGCGGCGCCACUGCGUGUAGUUGCCGGCGAGAAGGUCGAGGGUGACCGGGACAUGACGACGGAUGUCCACGGUCUGCAGGAUCGCGGAGGCGACAGGUGCUGUAGCAGGAGGAGGAGGGAUGACGGGCACCGCGGGCGCGACAGGUGCUGGAGCCGGCGGUGCCUUGGCCAGGGGGACAGCGUUAAGGACGCCGUCGGCGCCGUGCUGCGAGGAGCGAGGGGACACGAUGGGGUUGUCAUCCAUGGCGGCGGAAGCGGGACUGGCGACCUGCGCGAAGGGAUUGAGCAGGUCGGGGGAAUCUGGUACCAUAGAGGAGAGAAGGAUUAGGAGGAAUAAUUCACCACACUUUGAUUAAGCUCUCGGUUGGGUCUUAUGUAUAGAUUACAGGGCCAGGGAGAUCACGGGGUGAUCCACUACCUGGGAUCGUGCGCCAGGAUCACUAUAUGCGUGCGCCACGAUUAUAUACACACAUGCUACAACUAGUGUCUACGCAACUACGGUAUAGCAGUACAAUACAGUCUAACAGGGCAGCCACCGGCGGGGAGGGCGGGAUCCACGCGGGGUGGCGGGAUUUGGGCAGGCGGUGGGCUCGGGGGAGGGCGGUGGCAGCGAAGCAGCAAGGAGGGGCUGGAGGAGAUGAAACGAAAGAGGUCGCGUGACACAGCGACAGCGUUGUCCAAUCCCCGCGCUGCCGAUUUAAAAAAAAGGUAAUGAUAACUCCCGAACGUUCGGGAGUUAAGCAUGGAAACCCGAACGGGUUUAGAUGGCAAGUUUAGUUUGCGUGAGAUUAGGAAAACAUGGCAAUUUUCUGACAAAAGAAAUGAAAAAGGAUGAAGUUGCCAUCCCUAUCAACUAAAGUUGCCAUCCCCUAUGAACUAAAGUUGCCAUGUAAAAACGUUCGGGACGAAAUGCUCAAAAUCCGAACGUUCGGAAGUUACUGGAUUCAAAAAAAUCCCCUUGCUGCCAAUCGCUGGUCCGUUUCUUUUUUCGCCCAAUCGCUAGGUGAUGACGUGGCUAUCGCGGGAAGGCGCCCUUGAUGCGUAGUCGAAUGGUUUUAAUUAAUAGGAAGCGAGUGCUUACUCUAGUUACUGAAUUAUGUACACCAAAUAAAGCCAUUUACACGUAGUUAAUGACAAAAAAAGUUGAUGUUUGCUACGCAAAUGUGUAGUACAAAUUAAGAAGUGCAAGAUAAAAAAAAAUGCUGGUCCUUGAUUCGUUGUUGAUCGUCAGCAUGCCAUCAUCAAUUUGUAGUUAAUUAUCAUACAAAUUGGCUCUUUCAUAGAGUUGGAGACUAGCUCCUUUGAUCAGCACGCGCUUAAACACAAACAGCACGUAUAUGUUUUGUCUCCGGAGUUCAAUUCUUCAUCGGCCAGUAAAAAUGGCCCGACCAGGUAGAGGAAAAGGCAUGUUUGUUAGUACGCCUGGAGGAAAUGCCUUUGAUUAGGGCAUCUUCAACAGCGACCAGUAAAUUUCCUCCCGCGUUCGUCCACGGAUAGGGGAUCAGUCCGCGGAUACGAAUACAGGAAUCAUCCAUCCAACGCUGUCCGCGUAUAUUUCAAACACAUUUUUUUUAAAAAUAGGAUGAAAUUCAUGCAAACACAAUGGAUUUCAUACAAACCGGACAAAAAUGUUUACAUUUUGGACAUUUUUUUUUACUAAAAACUCUACAGCCGGCGCCGGCGAAUAUCCACUCCGGCGACAUGGAUACCCUUGACUAGUCUACUGCCGGCCGCAGCGGAUCUCCGAUGUCGUCCCCAUGUCCGGCAGCUAUGAGCCCUAGAGGUAUAUGCUUCAGCGCAAAGAGCGGCUCGCCUCCCUACCGCUCAUCGGAGUGGAACAACCAGCUGAUGCUUCUGCCGAUGGAAAGGGUCCCUACGCUACACGGAUUAGAGUUGGUUUUGGGCUGGGAACGGCGGUGGCCUGCCAGAGGGCAAGACACCGACUGUGUAUGCUGGUGUCACCUGGUGUGGCAUUCGUGGGACCCAAGCGGCAGCGCCUCCUCGAUGAUGGCGGCGAGCGCGGACGUGUUGGACACCACCUCGUCGAUGUCCGUGCAGCCCGCUUCUUUCUCUAUAGGAAGGACGCGGUUACGCUCGCGUUGACAUCGGAUGACUCGGUCACAUGCACGGGAGGGGCGGUACGACAUGGCAUCGCCAAUGGCAGCCAUGAUGCCCGCGCCACCGUGCUCCCUCCCAGUGCCGACCUGGAGCAACUUGCCACUCCUCGGCUCGUGACCGGUGGGCUUGACGGGCCACCUAGCCAUUUUUUAUGCCAGACAACUCUUCUUCCUGCUCGUCAGAUGUCAUGGAUAAAACUGUUUAAGGAGGAAAAUGAUGAGUGGACGUGUGAUGCGGUUCUUGCCCAACAUCUGACAUUGUUUAAAUAGUGAGGGGACACGAGAGGAGCCAACCGGCGUUCUGUUUAAUGCCAACCGGCUCGCGAACGAACAUGUGGCCGGAGUAAUUAUCCUGGCACACACGAGGGUUUUAUGGUGGAAGGCGGGCAGUCUGCAGGAAUGAGGCGAGGAUGUGUGCUUAGCCGGCGUGCAGCAGGCGGUGCCCUCGGCCGGCGUGCUGCUUCCAUUGCGGAGGCAGUGAAAGGUCGCGUCCGCUCUGCAGCGCAUGAAUGCGGGCAGCUGGCGCAGAGCGGGAACGCGUGUGGGCGAGGGAGGAGGGGGUUUGGGCGGGUGGUCAGAAGAGGUCGUGGGUGUUGUCCGAACGCCUGCAAAGCCCCCCUCCAUGUUUGUCUCCAGUUUGCGGGAGAAAGUACGUCCGGACCGUCUCCAAUGGACCAAUACAGGCCCGCAUUGGAUGGCACAACACGUCCGGACGAUGUGGUCCGGAUGGUUGUGGACAGUUUAAUUGAGGGUCGGCGUUGGAGAUGCCUUAGAGUUUAUGAAUCCAUUGUGUUUUUCUAAUCAUAAAAAAGCACUUACAAUAAGUUAUAAGGAAAGACACGAUUAUAUGUUAGGUUCAGACUCCAGCUUUCGUUUUACAUAUGCUUUAUUCAUCCGACUGAUUCCAAUAGAGUGAGCCUAGCGUUGUUUUUCUGGAAACUCGCGGGAUAAGGAGACAUGCAUACACAUUCUUUCAAGCAAAUCACAUCCAUUUUUUUUAACUCAUUUUUCUUCUUUUAAUAAUAUAAUAGAUCAUUUAUAUUUUUUAUCUGAAACAGUUGACGUGUAAUUUAUAUUGUAAUCUGAGGAUAAUGUUUGGAUUUUACUUUCAAAUAUAUUUGAAAUGGCCAUGAUGGAAUCACAUCCAUUUAUUUUAUUAUUAUUUGAAUUUGAUCCAAAAGAUAAAUAAUGAGUAGAGGUCAUGUCAACUUUUCUGAGAACUUUGCUAAUCAAAAUAUAAAUUGUAUUUAAAAACAUCUAUUUUUUAGCACGCAUGAAAAACAUAACACGUAUCUUUUCACACAUAAUGAACGGUUGUCAUAAGAACUCAUGCCAUGCCACAACCUCCCUCCGACCCUGCCAACAUUGUUGCAGCUGCACUCGCAAGCCUUAGCGUAGAUGAUAAUUUAUACAAUUUGCGUAAAAACAAAAUAAGAUCUACAAAUGAAUAGAAGCUAGAACGUACAUUGGCAUGCACACACAUUGCAAGCCAUACUAAGCUGAUAAGUGUUAAUAACUUGUAUAACAUAUACAACACUUAACACAAGUAAAAGCAAUUUGAUGAGUCAUGGUCUAUCAAAGCCACAUUACUAGUCUAAUCCAUCUUAACAGGUCACACAUGAUUAAAAUCUUGUUUGUGUGCAAGUCAAGCUUAUCUAGUUUACAUGUAACAACUUGUAGAACAUUACAAAAUUUAUGUUUGCUAAUAACUUCUAGAACACUACAACACUUGACAUGUAAAAGGAAUUUGAUGAGUCAUGGCCUACUAAAGCAAGUUAUAUUACUAGUCUUAUCUACCUUAACAGGCCACACAAGAUUACAAACCAAGUUCUGUGCCAGCCAUGCUUAUCUAGUUUAUGCGUAACAAUUUGCAGAAAAUUACAAACUUAGUUUCAGAAAAAUAGGCAAUCUAGAUUAGUGUUUGAGCUGUAAAGUGAAUAAAAUGAGUCAUGCGUGUUAUCACACCUUUUUGGUUGUGGAAUGAUAGUGCAACAACAAGGAACUUUAAUGACCAGUUCAAGAAUACACUUGUAAGUAGUGCCACCGAACACAACAUACCAAAUUAUGAUUUUGAGAAGCAUCCAAGCACUUCCACACAAGCAAAUGCCAAUUGUGAAAGAGAUCAUGCCAUGGCAGCUAUAAAUAGGCCCGUAGCAUGACGAUCAUCCUUCCUCAUCCAUCAUUCUCAUAAGUAGAGCGCAUCAUUUAAGCCAAGCAAGCAGUGCUCAAUACAAAUCCACCAUGAAGACCUUUCUCAUCCUUGCACUCCUUGCUAUUGUAGCAACCACCGCCACAAUUGCAGUUAGAGUUCCAGUGCCACAAUUGCAGCCACAAAAUCCAUCUCAGCAACAACCACAAGAGCAAGUUCCAUUGGUACAACAACAACAAUUUCCAGGGCAGCAACAACCAUUUCCACCACAACAGCCAUAUCCGCAGCCGCAACCAUUUCCAUCACAACAACCAUAUCUGCAGCUGCAGCCAUUUCCGCAGCCGCAACUACCAUAUCCGCAGCCGCAUCUACCAUAUCCGCAGCCGCAACCAUUUCGACCACAACAACCAUAUCCACAACCGCAACCACAGUAUUCGCAACCACAACAACCAAUUUCGCAGCAGCAGCAACAACAACAACAACAACAACAACAACAGAUCCUUCAACAAAUUUUGCAACAACAACUGAUUCCAUGCAGGGAUGUUGUAUUGCAACAACACAGCAUAGCGCAUGGAAGCUCACAAGUUUUGCAACAAAGUACUUACCAGCUGGUGCAACAAUUGUGUUGUCAGCAGCUGUGGCAGAUCCCCGAGCAGUCGCGGUGCCAAGCCAUCCACAAUGUUGUUCAUGCUAUUAUUCUGCAUCAACAACAACAACAACAACAACAACAACAACAACAACAACCGUUGAGCCAGGUCUCCUUCCAACAGCCUCAACAACAAUAUCCAUCAGGCCAGGGCUCCUUCCAGCCAUCUCAGCAAAACCCACAGGCCCAGGGCUCUGUCCAGCCUCAACAACUGCCCCAGUUUGAGGAAAUAAGGAACCUAGCGCUAGAGACGCUACCUGCAAUGUGCAAUGUCUAUAUCCCUCCAUAUUGCACCAUUGCUCCAGUUGGCUUCUUCGGUACUAACUGAGAAGAGAAGAACUCUAGUAGUAGACAUAUGAUACACCGUUUUCUUAGUCCAUGGUUUGGUCGUUGUAGCGGUGAAAAAAUAAAGUGACAUGCAGUAUCAUGUAAGAACCCGAACUAUACUAGUUCAAACAUGGGAAUAAAAGACAAACACAUGUCUUGUCUACAUAUGAUUGUUUGUUUGAGUUCCACUCAUGUGCCCACUCACAAGUUCACCCCUAAUUAUAUAUAUUAUGCAUUAAGUAGAUAUUUAUGUUGCAUUAAUCUAAAGAUAACAAAAUGAGUCUGAAAUUUGACUUAAAUUGAAGUAUUUCCUUGGACGUUCAAAUGGAGUAUUAUUAAAGUAGUAAGGACUAUCCACAUCCUUGGCUUGCCCUUGAUCAAUUAUUUCCAGAGAAGCAUUCAAUUCAUCAAUCAAUUACAUUGAUUUUUGUGGCUGGUACUUCUCCUCAACAUGAGUAUAUUCAUCGCGGCUACUCCAAAUAGGCAUGAAUGAGGUACCGGUGCUCUGGAGCACUGGUACCUAACUGCUUCUCAUGUGAAGGGGUGCGGGCGCGGGAGAGGUGUUUUUGGUGGGCCAGGGGAGUAAGAAUCGGCCGUGGCAGCGGUCCAGACGCCCACAAAGCCCCGUAGUUUGUUUUUGGUUUACAGGAAAAUGCACAUCCAGACCGGCCUGCGGGCCGAUAUAGGACCGUAUUGGAUGGCAAAACAUGUCCGGAUGGUCGCGAGCGGUUUAAGGGUUAGCUUUUGUAACGCCUGGUUAGUUAUGCUAUGGUAAUUCCCUGCUAAUGAUGUCACGUCAGCACGAUUACUGUUGUUAACCUCACAAUGAUUCAAUCCCAUUCAAAUUCAAAUUUAAAAUAAAGGCAAAAAUCAAAAGUCUCAAACAUUAAAACUAAAAUCUUCGAGAGGUGAAAAAUAAUGCAUAAGUAAUUAUGGUGGAGCAACCACACUUUUAUAAAAUGUUUAAAUACUCUAAAAAUAAUAAAACAGUGGCUUAAACUAUUAUUUAAAUGCUUUUAAAAUAGUAAAAAUGUUCUAACUAAAUUAAUUGGGUACCAAACUUUUGGUGGCAGUGGUAUAUUUAGUAGAACUAAUUUAGAUGCUAAUAAAACAUAAAAGGAAAGACAAAACAAAUAAAAGUAAAAGGGGGCAACCCCUCGCUGGGCCUCGGCCAAGCUGGCCACUGGGCUAGCUAGGUUGGCCCAACCGCCUCCCUUAACCCCCCACUCCCCAUCGAACCCUAGACCGAUCGCCCCACUUCCCCCACACCCCCUCGUCAGCCUCCCCACCUCUCGAUCCCAUCUGGAUCGGGGAGGGGAUCGCCCCCAUCGACCCCGUCGCGGUCGCUGGAUCGCCCGCUCGCCCAUCGCCCGCCGCCGUCGCGAGACCUCCUCCCCGUCGCACGUCUCCGACUCUCCUCCCCUCUCGCUCCUCUUCCCCGACCCGAUCUGGAUCGGGAAGGGCCAAUGAGCCAAACGCCCCCCUCCAUCGACGAUGUGCUCCAGCACCGCCGCCCGAAGACCUCGCCCUCGCCGGACCUCGCGUCGCCUCCUCGUAUCCCUCCCCGACUCGCCUCCUCAAGCCACGCCGACCCCCUUCUCGGCAACGCUGUGAGCUGCCCCCGUUUCCAUCCUUCUCUUUCCACCGUGUUCACCGCGCUGCCUGCCGUGCCCCUCGCUGCGCGCACGCCCACCACCGUGCCAGCCCCUGCUCCGAGCCCUCUCCUGCACGCUUGUGCGCGCAUGACCCUAGCCGCGCCCACGCCGUGAUCCCCUUGUCCCGCCCGCCUUCGUCCCGCGCUCGCCGCGGCCCCCAUGCUCCCAUGCGCCCUCUUUUGGGGGCGUCGGCUGCCCCUGUCCCGCAGCUCGCUGGCAUGCGUCCCCGCCCGCGCCUCGCCACCGCUCUACUGCUACGCUACUAUUGCGCUGUGGCCGCCGCCGCUUCCCGCUGCUCUGCCAGCGCCAAAGCUCCCGGUUGGCCCUGCCGCUGCUCGCGUUUAACCGCCGGCCUAAGCGGCCUAACCUCCCCCCUCGCUAAUGAACCCCCACCGACCCGCUGACACCGGGACCCACAUCCCCUAAUUAACCAUUUAAUAAAUUAAAACUCUUAAAUUAACAUUAGUGUAUGACAUGUGGGUCCCCUAUUAAUUAAACUGAUUUAAUUAAAAUCUAUUAACUUUGAGUCUAUGACAUAUGGGCCCCACUAAACAUUUGACCAGUCAACGGUCCAGUCAAAUGCUGACCGGACAGUUGACCAGAGGGCCCCGCCAGUCAGCCAAUGUGCUGUUCUGCUGGGUACCUUUCUAAGUACACCUAGCAUUUUACAUUUACAAUAUUUGUUUUAAAAUAAAUUAGAAUAAUUUCAAAAAAAUAUUAAAACUUUUAAAAUUAAAAUAAAAUAAUCCAUAACUCGGAUGAAAUUACUUUAUACAUGGAAGUUGCUCAAAAAACGAGACGAAUUCGAAUACACAGUCCGUUCGUCUGCCACGCGUCCCUAGCAUAGCGAACAUGCAACCAUCCCCCUCCGGUUCGACUCUCCGAAAAAUUAUUAUUGCACAUGCCCGCUAAGAGGUUGGCUGUAUAUGACAUGACAACUUCUUAUAGCCGACCCUUGGCUGUAAUAUUAACCAUGCUCUUAGUGAGGUAGCUAGUAUAUCAUAGACGACUAGCUAGUAUCAGACUAGCCAAAGUGGGAGUAACUUCAGCAGUAACAUCGACUCCAACUCAGCAAACUUGCUUAUGUGGGAGUAAACCCUGCCUAAUGCAAAAUACAAUCCCAGUCGUAAUUUUUUCAGGAAACGUGUGGGAUCCCAAACGAAAAGCACACGUCACUCUUGCGGCAACCGUCGGUGACACCCAAUAAAUCACAAACGGUAUGCAGCACUUGUAUGUGUGCAAAGGGGCUCCUGAACCGUUUGUGAUAGAACAUUAUCGCAGACGGUAAUUGUUGGCAAACGUGUGCGAUGGAGUCUAGCAUGGCAGACGGGUUACGCAGAAAACUCGUGUGCGAUGGGGCACAAAUCGCACACUGUUCAUAUGUUGGCCCAUGUGCCUUACAUACUAUUUCCCAAAUGGUUUGUUACGACAGACCGUAUCGUUUCAGUGCGUCAUUAGAAACGCUUAAUCACUGAUACCACACGUGCGAAAGAAUUUAGUGCGUGCUGCAUCGCACACGAUUACAUUUUGGAAGGCCUCUGGAUCACUGCUCCAUAUCCCCGACGGUUUCUGGGCCGUGUGGGAAGGACACCCUAUCACACACACUCACUUGGCGACGGCUCCAAAUGCUGUCGUGGAAAGGGGUUAAAAACAGUUUGUUUAGGACCGACGCGUACCAGUGUCUAUCUAUCUAUCUAUCUAUCUAUCCAUCUAUCUAUCUAUCUAUCUAUCUAUCUAUCUAUCAAUCUAUCUAUCCAUCUAUCCAUCUAUCCAUCUAUCCAUCUAUCCAUCUAUCUAUCUCAAUCCACCUAUCUAUCUAUCCAUCUAUCCAUCUAUCUAUCUCUCCAUCUAUCCAUCUAUCUAUCCAUCUAUCCAUCCAUCUACUAUCCAUCUAUCUAUCCAUCCAUCCAUCUAUCUAUCCAUCCAUCUAUCUAUCUAUCUAUCUAUCUAUCUAUCUAUCUAUCUAUCUAUCUAUCUAUCUGUCUGUCUAUCUAUCUAUCUAUCUGUCUGUCUGUCUAUCUAUCUAUCUAUCCAUCUAUUCAUCUAUCUAUCUAUGUAUCCAUUUAUCCAUUGAUCCAUCUAUCGAUCCAUCGAUCCAUCCAUCUAUCCAUCCAUCUAUCCAUCCAUCUAUCUAUCCAUAUAUCCAUGUAUCCAUGUAUCCAUCUAUCCAUCUAUCGAUCUAUCCAUCUAUCCAUCUAUCCAUCUAUCCAUCUAUCUAUCUAUCCAACCAUCUAUCGAUCUAUCGAUCUAUCGGUCUAUCCAUCUAUCGAUCUAUCCAUCUCUCCAUCUACCAAUCUAUCCAUCUAUUCAUUUACCGAUCUAUCUAUCCAUCUAUCUAUCUAGCUAUCUACCUAUCUAUCUAUCUAUCUAUCUAGCUAUCUAGCUAUCUAUCUAUCUAGUUAUUUAGCUAUCUAUCUGUCUACCUACCUACCUACCUAUCUAUCUAUCUAUCUAUCUAUCUAUCUAUCUAUCUAUCUAAAGGAAAUAUGCCCUAGAUGCAAUAAUAAAGUUGUCAUUUAUAUUUCCUUAUAUCAUGAUAAACUAGCGGAGUCACCCGCGCAUUUGCGCGGCUAGAUUGACUACAUAUAUUGUUAUAUUUGGGAUUAUUUUUCUAUGCCAAUUUUAUGGCCUCUUACUCAGAUAUUAUCUAAUUGAAUUUACCACCACCAUAUGUUAUAUCCAUAGAUUAUAAUUAAAAGGCAACUUCCGACGAAACAUGGACAGAUUAUUGAGUGCUUAGAAGACGGACGCAAUAUCAUAUAUAGACUUCUAUACCAAUCUUCAUGGUUCCCAUCUUUGAUCCUCUCCUCGUCCCUUGGUAUCUAUCUUUGCACCCAAUAUGUCUUUGGAGUUCCAAGAAUUGAAUCUUAGCAUGAAUGGCUUCAAUGUGUACCAAAUGUUCUCUUGUUCCUCCCAAAUUAAUUACUGGUUGCAUUCUUAGUUGCUUUGACAUUCUUGGUUAAUGCAAUGUCUUGCCUACCAAUAUAUGCAUCCACACACGAUAAUAUUUAUAUGACCACUUACCUUUGUAUUCUGGUAUUUGUGCUUCAGAAUUUUUCUCUCAUUCAGUUUAUUCAUAGAUUAAAAACGUCGAUCGUUUCUUUAUUGGUUUGCAUUAUCUUGUUUGCCGAACGUAAGCAUCCACACAUGCUCGUCAUGAUAUGAUUGGUCAUCAUUGUAUAUUUGUAUUUGUGUGUUGAUAGCUUAAGGAUUUUCUCGGAUUCACUUCAUAGUUUAAGGAUUUUCUCGCGUUCAAUUUAUUCUACCUUAUUCAUUUUCAUGUUUCUUUAUUGCAUUUAUAUCAAUUCUUACAAUAUAUUUUCCAAGAUAUGAACUCAACUGCUAAUUACGUAGUUUUUCAUCAAAAAUUACAUGUAAAAAUGUUACAAAUGCAUAAACAUGAUAAAAAUAUAUAUCAUAUUCCAUUGAGAGAUCGCCCAUUUAAAAAAAACACGUUGACUUACAAAAAGGACAAUUCAAGCUGCAUGUACGUCCGACUCAUGUUUACCUGACAAUGUCGAUGUUGAUUUCAGCAGUAAAUGAGCUGUGUGUGACCUUUGCGCUUUCCGGUAUUCUUCUAACCUGUGUGCUUUAUGAUCAGUUUGUUGUGCUUAGUACUGGACACUGGAGUAUACUAUCAUAUUUGGUACAAAUAAAUCUGAACUACUAUAGUUAUGAUCCACUCUAUAGUUAAUGGUGGUGGUAAUUAAUAUAUGUGGUUAAAUACUUGCGCUCCUUAGGUGGGGAGUUGAAUUUGUAUUUCCCUAAAAUAAAUUUCAGAUUUCGUAAUAGUGGUGAAGCCAGCCGGAAGAACCUCUGCGUCAUUAUUAAUUUUGGUGAUAUUUUUCUUCAUAGUGUAGAAUAAUUUUAGUGCUUAUUCCGCAAAAAAUAUGGCCUCAACUGACCCCAUAGCUUGUAUGUUGCGCCACCACUGUUUCCUAUAUCUUUUUACAUCCGUUGUUUUUAGAUCUUGAUGCAUAACUUUGACAAUAUUUAAUAGAUAUGUGUCUGUAUAAAAAAUUAUAAAUGCUAUGAUAAUUUGAUUAAUUAUGAUGAAUAAAAUGUUAUUGCUCUGACUUGAUCCCUCUAGAAUUUUCCAAAAUUUCACAUUACAGUUGUAGUAGUGCAUGCUACCUCUUGAGCACUGCAUUAGUUUUCCCUUGAAGAGGAAAGGGUGAUGCAGUAAAGCAGCGUCAGUAUUUCCCUCGGUUUUUGAGAACCAAGGUAUCAAUCCAGUAGGAGGCCACGCAUGAGUCCCUCGCACCUACACAAACAAAUAAAAUCCUCGCAACCAACGCAAUAAAGGGGUUGUCAAUCCCUUCACGGUCACUUACGAAAGUGAGAUCUGAUAGAUUUGAUAAGAUAAUAUUUUUGGUAUUUUUAUGAUAAAGAUGCAACGUAAAGAAAGCAAAAUAAAAAAAGCGCCAGAAAUAGCUUGUUGACGGGAGAUUAAAAUAGACCGGGGGGCCAUAGGUUUCACUAGUGGCUUCUCUCGAGAGCAUAAGUAUUUCGGUGGGUAGACAAAUUACUGUUGAGCAAGUGACAGAAUUGAGCAUAGUUAUGAGAAUAUCAAGGUAUGAUCAUGUAUAUAGGCAUCACGUCCGAGGCAAGUAGCCCGACUCCUGCCUGCAUCUACUACUAUUACUCCACACAUCGACCGCUAUCCAGCAUGCAUCUAGAGUAUUAAGUUCAAAAAACAGAGUAACGCUUUAAGUAAGAUGACAUGAUGUAGAGGGAUAAACUCAUGCAAUAUGAUAUAAACCCCAUCUUGUUAUCCUCGAUGGCAACAAUACAAUACGUGCCUUGCUGCCCCUACUGUCACUGGGAAAGGACACCGCAAGAUUGAACCCAAGCUAAGCACUUCUCCCAUCGCAAGAAAGAUCAAUCUAGUAGGCCAAACCAAACUGAUAAUUCGAAGAGACUUGCAAAGAUAACCAAUCAUACAUAAAAGAAUUCAGACAAGAUUCAAAUAUUGUUCAUAGAUAAACUUGAUCAUAAACCCACAAUUCAUCGGUCUCAACAAACACACCGCAAAAGAAGAUUACAUCGAAUAGAUCUCCACAAGAGAGGGGGAGAACAUUGUAUUGAGAUCCAAAAAGAGAGAAGAAGCCAUCUAGCUAAUAACUAUGGACCCGAAGGUCUGAGGUAAACUACUCACACAUCAUCGUAGAGGCUAUGGUGUUGAUGUAGAAGCCCUCCGUGAUCGAUGCCCCCUCCGGCGGAGCUCCGGAAAAGGCCCCAAGAUGGGAUCUCACGGGUACAGAAGGUUGCGGUGAUGGAAUUAGGUUUUUGGCUCCGUAUCUGGUAGUUUGGGGGUACGUAGGUAUGUAUAGGAGGAAGAAGUACGUCGGUGGAGCAACGUGGGCCCCACGAGGGCGCGCCCCCCUACCUCGUGCCUUCCUGGUAGAUUUCUUGACGUAGGGAACAAGUCCUCUAGAUAACGUUCGUUCCCAAAAUCACGUUUCCGAAGGUUUCAUUCCGUUUGGACUCCGUUUGAUAUUCUUUUUCUGUGAAACUCUGAACUAGGCAAAAAACAACAAUUCUGGGGUGGGCCUCCGGUUAAUAGGUUAGUCCCAAAAAUAAUAUAAAAGUGUAUAAUAAAGCCCAUUAAUGUCUAAAACAGAAUAUAAUAUAGCAUGGAACAAUAAAAAAUUAUAUAUACGUUGGAGACGUAUCAAGCAUCCCCAAGCUUAAUUCUUGCUCGUCCUCGAGUAGGUAAAUGAUAAAAACAGAAUUUUUAAUGUGGAAUGCUACUUGGCAUAAUUUCAAUGUAAUUCUCUUAAUUGUGGUAUGAAUAUUCAGACCCGAAAGAUUCAAGACAAAAGUUUAAUAUUGACAUAAAAAUAAUAAUACUUCAAGCAUACUAACUAAGCAAUUAUGUCUUCUCAAAAUAAAAUGGCCAAAGAAAGUUAUCCCUACAAAAUCAUAUAGUCUAGCUAUGCUCUAUCUUCACCACACAAAGUAUUUAAAUUAUGCACAACCCGGAUGACAAGCCAAGCAAUUGUUUCAUACUUUUGAUGUUCUCAAACUUUUUCAAUCUUCACGCAAUACAUGAGCAUGAGCCAUGGACAUAGCACUAUAUGUGGAAUAGAAUGGUGGUUGUGGAGAAGACAAAAAAGGAGAAGAUAGUCUCACAUCAACUAGGCGUAUCAACGGGCUAUGGAGAUGCCCAUUAAUAGAUAUCAAUGUGAGUGAGUAGGAAUUGCCAUGCAACGGAUGCACUAGAGCUAUAAGUAUAUGAAAGCUCAACAAAAGGAACUAAGUGGGUGUCCAUCCAACUCGCUUGCUCAUGAAGACCUAGGGCAUUUUGAGGAAGCCCAUCAUUGGAAUAUACAAGCCAAGUUCUAUAAUGAAAAUUUCCCACUAGUACAUGAAAGUGAUAUCAUAGGAGACUCUCUAUCAUGAAGAUCAUGGUGCUACUUUGAAGAACAAGUGUGGUAAAAGGAUAGUAACAUUGUCCCUUCUCUCUUUUUCUCUCUUUUUUUAUUUGGGUCUUUUAUUCUUUUUUUAUGGCCUCUUUUUUUUAGUCCGAAGUCUCAUCCCGACUUGUGGGGGAAUCAUAGUCUCCAUCAUCCUUUCCUCACUUGGGACAAUGCUCUAAAAAAAUGAUGAUCAUCACACUUUUAUUUACUUACAACUCAACAAUUACAACUCAAUACUUAGAACAAAAUAUGACUCUAUGUGAAUGCCUCCGGCGGUAUACCGUGAUAUGCAAUGAAUCAAGAGUGACAUGUAUGAAAGAAUUAUGAACGGUGGCUUUGCCACAAAUACAAUGUCAACUACAUGAUCAUGGAAAGCAAUAUGACAAUGAUGGAGUGUGUCAUAAUAAACUGAACGGUGGUAAGUUGCAUGGCAAUAUAUCUCAGAAUGGCUAUGGAAAUGCCACGGUAGGUAGGUAUGGUGGCUGUUUUGAGGAAGGUAUAUGGUGGGUGUAUGAUACCGGCGAAAAGUGCGCGGUAUUAGAGAGGCUAGCAAUGGUGGAAGGAAGAAAGUGCGUAUAAUCCAUGGACUCAACAUUAGCCAUAAAGAACUCAUAUACUUAUUGCAAAAAUCUACAAGUUAAUGAAAAUCUAGGGGGAUAGAUUGGUAGGAAAAGACCAUCGCUCGUCCCCGACCGCCACUCAUAAGGAAGACAAACAAUAAAUAAAUCAUGCUCCGACUUCAUCACAUAACGGUUCACCAUACGUGCAUGCUAAGGGAAUCACAAACUUUAACACAAGUAUUUCGCAAAUUCAAAACUACUCAACUAGCAUGACUGUAAUAUCACCAUCUCCAUAUCUCAAAACAAUUAUCAAGUAUCAAACUUCUCAUAGUAUUCAACACACUCAUAAGAUUUUUUUUACUAAUCUUGAGUGCCUAUCAUAAUUAAAGCAAAUUACCACGCUGUUUUGUAGGACUAUCAAAAUAAUCUAAGUGAAUCAUGAGAGAACAAUAGUUUCUAUAAAAAAAAACCACCACCGUGCUCUAAAAGAUAUACGUGAAGCACUAGAGCAAAAACUAUAUAGCUCAAAAGAUAUAAGUGAAGCACAUAGAGUAUUCUAACAAUUUCCGAAUCAUGUGUGUCUCUCUCAAAAGGUGUGUACUGCAAGGAUUAUUGUGGCAAACUAACAAAUAAAGACUUCAAAUAAUACAAGACGCUCCAAGAAAAACACAUAUCAUGUGGUGAAUAGAAAUAUAGCUCCAAGUAAAGUUACCGAUGGAAGUAGACGAAAGAGGGGAUGCCUUCCGGGGCAUCCCCAAGCUUUGGCUUUUAGGUGUCCUUAGAUUAUCUUGGGGUGCCAUGGGCAUCCCCAAGCUUAGGCUCUUGCCACUCCUUGUUUCAUAAUCCAUCAAAUCUUUCACCCAAAACUUGAAAACUUCACAACACAAAACUCAGCAGAAAAUCUCGUGAGCUCCGUUAGCAAAAGAAAACAAAACACCACUUCAAGGUACUGUAAUGAACUCAUUAUUUAUUUAUAUUGGUGUUAAACCUAAUGUAUUCCAACUUCUCUAUGGUUUAUAAACUAUUUUACUAGCCAUAGAUUCAUCAAAAUAAGCAAACAACACACGAAAAACAUAAUCUGUCAAACACAGAACAGUCUGUAGUAAUCUGUAACUAACGCAAUUUUCUGGGACUCCAAAAAUUGACCCAAAAUAGGAAGACCUAGACAAUUUUUUUAUUGAUCAGCAGCAAUUGGAAUCAAUAUUUUAGCACGUCCUGGUGAUUUUUAACAAUUAUUUUCAUGAACAGAAAGUUUCUGGAAUUUUCAGCAAGAUCAAAUAACUAUCAUCCUAGAAGAUCCUAUAGGUUAAACAUGGCACAAACACUAAUUAAAACAUAAAAACACAUGUAACCAGAGGCUAGAUCAAAUAUUUAUUCCUAAAAAAAAGAAAAAAGCAAAAAAACUAAAAAUAAAAUUGGGUUGCCUCCCAACAAGCGCUAUCGUUUAACGCCCCUAGCUAGGCAUAAUAGCAAGGAUAGAUCUAGGUAUUGCCAUCUUUGGUAGGCAAUCCAUAAGUGGCUCUCAUAAUAGAUUCAUAAGGUAAUUUUAUUUUCUUUCUAGGGAAGUGUUCCAUGCCUUUCCUUAAUGGAAAUUGGAAUCUAAUAUUCCCUUCCUUCAUAUCAAUAAUUGCACCAAUCGUUCUAAGGAAAGGUCUACCAAGAAUAAUAGGACAUGAAGGAUUGCAAUCUAUAUCAAGAACAAUAAAAUCUACGGGCACAUAAUUCCUAUUUGCAACAAUAAGAACAUCAUCAAUUCUUCCCAUAGGUUUCUUAAUGGUGGAAUCCGCAAGGUGCAAGUUUAAAGAGCAAUCAUCAAAAUCACGGAAACCUAGCAAAUCGCACAAAAUCUUUGGAAUCGUGGAAACACUACCACCCAAAUCACACAAAGCAUAGAAUUCAUGAUCUUUAAUUUUAAUUUUAGUAGUAGGUUCCCACUCAUCAUAAAGUUUUCUAGGGAUAGAAACUUCCAACUCAAGUUUUUCUUCAUAAGAUUGCAUCAAAGCAUCAACGAUAUGUUUAGUAAGGCUUUAUUUUGACUAUAAUCAUGUGGAGAAUUUAGCACGGAUUGCAACAAGGAAAUACAAUCUAUCAAAGAGCAAUUAUCAUAAUUAAAUUCCUUGAAAUCCAAAAUAGUGGGUUCAUUAAUAUCUAGAGUUUUGAUUUCUUCAAUCCCACUUUUACCAAUUUUUGCAUCAAGAUCUAAAAACUCUGAAUUUUUGGAACGCCUUCUAGGUAGAGGUGGAUCAUAUUCAGUCCCAUCAUUAUCAAGAUUCAUAUUGCAAAACAAAGAUUGAAUAGGGGACACAUCAAUAACUUUUAGAUCUUCAUCUUUAUUUUCAUAGAAACUAGAAGAACACGCUUUCACAAAACAAUCUUUCUUAGCACGCAUCCUAGCGGUUCUUUCUUUGCACUCAUCAAUGGAAAUUCUCAUGGCCUUGAGAGACUCAUUGAUAUCAUGCUUAGGAGAAAUUGUAUCAGCGUUCCUAGCCAAUUCAUCAACUUUAAGCAAUUUUUCUUGAAGCAAAGCGUUGAAAUUGUUUUGCGAAUUCAUAAAUUCUUUAACACUAGUCUCAAAUUCAGAAGGCAUCUUAUUAAAAUUUACAUAAUAAUUGUUGUAGGAAUUACCAUAAUUAUUAGAGGAAUUACUAGGAUACGACCUUGGAUUAAAGUUUCCUCUAUACGCGUUGUUACCAAAAUUAUUCCGACCAACAAAAUUCACAUCCAUAGAUUCAUUAUUAUUCUCAAUCAAAGUAGACAAAGGCAUAUCAUUAGGAUCAGAAGAAACACUUUUAUUAGCAAAUAAUUUCAUAAGUUCAUCCAUCUUACACUCAAAACAUUAAUUUCUUCUAUCGCAUGCACUUUUUUAUUAGUGGAUUUUUCGGUGUGCCAUUGAGAAUAAUUAACCAUAAUAUUAUCUAGGAGUUUAGUAGCUUCUCCUAAAGUGAUUUCCAUAAAAGUGCCUCCCGCGGCCGAAUCUAAAAGAUUUCUAGAAGAAAAAUUCAAUCCGGCAUAAAAAUUUUGUAUAAUCAUCCACAAAUUCAAACCAUGAGUAGGGCAAUUACGUAUCAUUAAUUUCAUCCUCUCGCAAGCUUGUGCAACAUGUUCAUGAUCAAGUUGCUUAAAAUUCAUAAUAUCGUUUCUGAGAGAGAUGAUCUUAGUGGGAGGAAAAUACUUAGAGAUAAAAGCAUCUUUGCACUUAUUUCAAGAAUCACUACUAUUUUUAGGCAAAGACGAAAACCAAGCUUUAGCACGAUCUCUAAGCGAAAAAGGAAAUAGUUUCAAUUUAACAAUAUCAUUGUCCACAUCUUUCUUCUUUUGCAUAUCACACAAAUCAACGAAGUUGCCAUGUCUAGGAAUGCUUGAAGCUUCAAAGAUUUCCUAUAAUACAACAUGCCUCUAACUAUUCACAAUAAGAAAAACAUGUAAAUGCGGAAUCAACCAAAUGAUGGUAAAUUGUAGUUGAUUUUGGCCAAGCAAACGUCAGAUGAAAGAAACAUACAUGAGUGAACAUCACUAUUGGAUGUUUUAUUCAAAUUUAAUAGGUUAAACUCACCAAAUCCAUCUGGAUAUUUAGUAUUAAACUUCAACAGAUGGUCAGUUGUAGCUAGAUUCACACCACUGAAGCAAAAUUCCAUCUGCCACGGUUACAUCACACCAUCUUUUCAUCGUUACUAUUUAAAUUCCAAAUGCCUGCAACUCAUUUUUUUUGUUACGAUGUAUGCAUGAUUUUUAACUCAAGAGGAAGAGGGGAAACUAAAUCCAAGAAAAGAACACCAAGGAAGCAUCCAAAAUAGAGAAAGGAAAAAAAUCCAAAAUAGAGGCAGAAUCGAAGGGAAGAAACCCCAUAAAAAAUAGGAGAUCAAACGGUGAAAAAAAUCUAAGAGUCAAACAAUUCUAGGUAAGACCAAAUCGACGGCAAAAUAGCACAAGAGGGACUCACAUUAACAGGUAUACCAGGUAUACCAAUUUAGAAAGAAGUGUAAAGCGAACAGUGCAAUGGACCACUAGUAUAAAUUGGAUGUACACAAACAUGGGACUUAAACAAGAACUGCGAGAUGCAGGGUUCACGUGCAAACCCAAAAAAUGGAAAACUGAAACCCACAACAAGAUUUUAUCUUCAUAUAUAUAUAUAUAUAUAUAUAUAUAUAUAUAUAUAUAUAUAUAUAUAUAUAUAUAUAUAUAUAUAUUCAAGGCUCGCCCUAUCUAUUAGUUGCUUCUUCCGAAUCCCCACCUAUCAAGCGUUUUCUCUGAAUAAACAAACACAAUAGUAUUCUUUGAAUUAUACUGUACAACGGUAAUUAACCAAGCGACUGGAAUUAACAAUAUUAUGAGCUAUUGGCUUUUUAGUCAGGUAAAUAUCAUUCUUAAGACUACGGAAAACAACAGGCGGCGAAGAAAACAUCUAUUUAUGAGAACUAUACACAUACUUAAGAAGGAAGUGACAUCUAUGGUAGCAGAACAUAUAUCAAGCUGUUGCAGCUACAUUAGCAGUUUAGCACAGUUCCUCCAUAAUACACAGGCUAGUGUAAUUUCACAAAUACAAUAAGCUAACAAUAUAUAUUUGGUAGAUGGAAAUGGCUGGAUCAUGAGCAAUAUACCAUUACACAUCCGAUGAUGCAAAUAAAGAAACGAGGCCCAACAAUAGUGGAAAAUAAACCACAAUAGAACAUGUAUUUGGCGAAACCUCCAUACUGCAAUAUCAAACAUGAAUUGAAAUUAACAAUCUAGCAAAAAAACAUGACAGAUGCAGUCUUGGUCAUUUUUCCUUUUGUGACAUCCCCUAAAAAAAGUAAAAACAAUGUUGUUCGUAUUUUACCAGAGAUACACUGAGCUGGGACAAAUCGGUCUGAAAUAAAAUAUGAUGGCUUCGGAGGAUUCGGAAGGCAAGAAAUUUGCUUUCUUCCAACAUAUAUGGUCUGCUGAACUAAACUUCGUUUCAACGGGCUUUGGCAAAAAUCUGUAACUGCAAACAUCAACUUGUGUGCCCUUCCUACGUCAAACUUUAAACUUGACGGAUUAAAUAUUUUAGGUUAGGCUGAGAUCAGUGUACUUUAUGAGUGUUAAGUGUACUUUCUAAAUAGCAGAGAAACCAUAACAUCUAAGCACAACCCAGCAACUUGUACAAGCUAACAUCAAAUCUGAAAGAGGAAAUGUCGAGAACAGGUGAAGGUACCAUGAUCCACGACUGAGCAAAGUUAUCUAUAAUCCUCGGUGAAUAUCAUAAAUUAGGAUCAACUACGCUAAAGAACAAACGGGAAAGGAACCUAGAAAGAUCUUCUGCCGGUAGAAUAUAACUGAUACACUAUCCUCGUUCUCGAGAUCAAGGUCGUUUCUUGAAUUGCAGUUUCCUCACUGUAGUAUGGGGUCAUUACACUGUGAAGAACAAAGUGUCAUAUGAAUCAUUUAGAGCCCAAUCUUUUUCACUGAAACUCUUAUGAUCACAUAACGAAUUUAAACAUAAGGUUUAUUAGAUAUUUGUUGUUGUGAACAGAUAAUAUAUUUCUGGUGUUGACAAUGUUUUGAUUAUGGAUGCACUUCAAGAUGGGUGGCACAGAUUCUGUUGUACAGGCCUCCACCUGGAAUUUCAUCACUUGUUAUUUUUGUUUUAGAAUGUCUAGGUGCAUUUUUCCUUUAAGGUGGAAACAGAUGUACUUGUAUAAGCAACAAGAAUACAAAGCGCCACUGCCAUACAUUGUGGAAGUUCAGUGCUUCUGUUUACAAAAUCUGCUUCCCAAAACAGAAGGAUUUAUAAUUUUUUAUUACAAUCAAGCGGACAUGAGCUGAUGAGUACAGAUGUAGACAUGUACUGAGAGCAGCACCCUUUCAAAAGUGGAUCAUUUACAAGUUGGAUAGUUUGAUGGUCUGAAAUUAGUGGUCGUGUUUCAGAAUUGUUAUCGAAUAGUAGGGGAUAUAUAUUAAAUUCUGAAAUUAGUGGUUGUUUGUCAGAACUGUUAUCGAAUAACAGAGCACAUAUAUUAACUUCAAUAAGUGGAGUAAUAUCUUUGGAUUCGCUGUGAGGAAAGAUUACCAAAACAAAACAGAAGUGAGCACUGGUAGAAAAUGGGCCUUUAGUCCCGGUUCGCAAAGGCCAUUAAUCCCGGCUGUGCAACCGGGACUAAANNNNNNNNNNNNNNNNNNNNNNNNNNNNNNNNNNNNNNNNNNNNNNNNNNNNNNNNNNNNNNNNNNNNNNNNNNNNNNNNNNNNNNNNNNNNNNNNNNNNNNNNNNNNNNNNNNNNNNNNNNNNNNNNNNNNNNNNNNNNNNNNNNNNNNNNNNNNNNNNNNNNNNNNNNNNNNNNNNNNNNNNNNNNNNNNNNNNNNNNNNNNNNNNNNNNNNNNNNNNNNNNNNNNNNNNNNNNNNNNNNNNNNNNNNNNNNNNNNNNNNNNNNNNNNNNNNNNNNNNNNNNNNNNNNNNNNNNNNNNNNNNNNNNNNNNNNNNNNNNNNNNNNNNNNNNNNNNNNNNNNNNNNNNNNNNNNNNNNNNNNNNNNNNNNNNNNNNNNNNNNNNNNNNNNNNNNNNNNNNNNNNNNNNNNNNNNNNNNNNNNNNNNNNNNNNNNNNNNNNNNNNNNNNNNNNNNNNNNNNNNNNNNNNNNNNNNNNNNNNNNNNNNNNNNNNNNNNNNNNNNNNNNNNNNNNNNNNNNNNNNNNNNNNNNNNNNNNNNNNNNNNNNNNNNNNNNNNNNNNNNNNNNNNNNNNNNNNNNNNNNNNNNNNNNNNNNNNNNNNNNNNNNNNNNNNNNNNNNNNNNNNNNNNNNNNNNNNNNNNNNNNNNNNNNNNNNNNNNNNNNNNNNNNNNNNNNNNNNNNNNNNNNNNNNNNNNNNNNNNNNNNNNNNNNNNNNNNNNNNNNNNNNNNNNNNNNNNNNNNNNNNNNNNNNNNNNNNNNNNNNNNNNNNNNNNNNNNNNNNNNNNNNNNNNNNNNNNNNNNNNNNNNNNNNNNNNNNNNNNNNNNNNNNNNNNNNNNNNNNNNNNNNNNNNNNNNNNNNNNNNNNNNNNNNNNNNNNNNNNNNNNNNNNNNNNNNNNNNNNNNNNNNNNNNNNNNNNNNNNNNNNNNNNNNNNNNNNNNNNNNNNNNNNNNNNNNNNNNNNNNNNNNNNNNNNNNNNNNNNNNNNNNNNNNNNNNNNNNNNNNNNNNNNNNNNNNNNNNNNNNNNNNNNNNNNNNNNNNNNNNNNNNNNNNNNNNNNNNNNNNNNNNNNNNNNNNNNNNNNNNNNNNNNNNNNNNNNNNNNNNNNNNNNNNNNNNNNNNNNNNNNNNNNNNNNNNNNNNNNNNNNNNNNNNNNNNNNNNNNNNNNNNNNNNNNNNNNNNNNNNNNNNNNNNNNNNNNNNNNNNNNNNNNNNNNNNNNNNNNNNNNNNNNNNNNNNNNNNNNNNNNNNNNNNNNNNNNNNNNNNNNNNNNNNNNNNNNNNNNNNNNNNNNNNNNNNNNNNNNNNNNNNNNNNNNNNNNNNNNNNNNNNNNNNNNNNNNNNNNNNNNNNNNNNNAUAUAGAGCUCAAAUGAUUGAAAAUAAUUACUUUUGCAGCAUUUUUCUCAUGUCGGCCCAACGCUUUGGAUCCGAAUCCAUAGAGUCCAUGAUUAGAACUCUGGAGGUGUGAAGUUCAAUAUUUAGCAGAAUCCAGUGGAACCUGCGGACACGUUACAUGCACAGUCAUGCAUAACUCAUCGAUUAGACAUACCAUGCAUGGAGUAAACAAAAGAGAAUGGGCACAAGAGAGAAACACUCACCCAAAAUGGUAAGGAAAUAGAAUAUGACUUUUGAGUUGAUGCUUUCUAAGAAACUUGUACAAGUCUUUCUCCAUGUCUUCGGGGUGAUUUUGUAACACAUGUCCAUUAACGAUAUGUGGGUCAAUGAACCCAACAUCAUGGAUGUUUCUUAUUUUGCAUUCCCAAAUCUUCAAUCUGCAUAAUAGCGUACGCAACAAUAUAGUUAGGACAAUAUAUAUAUAUAUAUAUAGUGCAGGCAAUGAAGAACGAGAUGAGGUAGAAAUAAAUCACUUACAUAACGUAGCAACUCAGGAUAGAUUUGUCGAGCUCGCGCAGAUUGAACAGCUGGAACAAUUCACUCAUAUGAACUUGUACAAAGUACCGUUUGGUGUGAUGCUCCUCUGUAACAUCCGCAUAAAUAUAUUCUUUGUCGGCCCAUGUUAUGAAUUGCUUGUACCAACGUAGAAGAUUUCGCAUUUGUGGUGGUAGACUCUUUUCCCGUGCAGGCUCGACGAGAGGCCCAUUCCGCACAUAUUGUAAUGCUAUCUCACAUACUGGCGCAUCCUCAAGGCCUAAGAUGGCACGAAGAGUCAAACCCAUCUCGGACGUUUGUUUCAUGGCACUCGCUACAGUCAAUCCAAGUGCUGCCGCAGCUCCUAUGAUCUCGGGGUCCUCUUCCGGACCGGCUUUCACUAUGAGCGGGGGGAUCGAUUGUUUAUUCUGCAUCCCGAGCUGGUCAACUUGUUUCCCGCUUUUUUUACUUUCUUCUUUCUCCUCCUUCAAUAUUUUUGCUUGCCAACGAAGUUCAUGUCAAUAGUCGUCAGGCAUAUUCAGCUCGGCUUGGGACGGUGUCGUCAAAAAAUCCUUAGCCCACUUCUUUUGCUUCUCAGUGAAUACUUGCUUGGGCUCAGGCUCUUUUUUCGAAUUCGUAUCCGCCUUCCAUUUCUCAUAAUGAGCAGACGCGGCCAAUUUGGUUUCAGCUUCACUAAGUUCCCAAGGCCUUGGGAGGAGAGGCUUCAGUGAUGGCUCCGGUACCCUUGUGGUCUUACGUACAUAAGGGUCCGGGUUAAUAGUCCAGGAGAGGGUUUCCUUGCUGUCCGCCUGCUUCUACUUCUUCGCCGGAGGUGGAUUGGGGGGCGUCGUACCCGCCGGAGGAGGAUUGGGGGGCGUCGUACCUGCCGGAGGAGGAUUGGGGGGCGGCGGCUGCUUACCCGCCGGAGGUUGUGGAUCGGGGGACGGCGUCGAAUGGCGUGAAGGAGGUGUAGGUGAACCACCACGACCACCACCACCACCACCACCAUCGGAGGGGGUGGACUUGUUAGCAUUGGCGCCUCGCCUGGAAACACUAUGUACUUCUUUUUCCAUAGAAUGAUCUGGCGCUUGACAUCUCCAAGUCUUCUCUCCCCUUCGGGUGUAGCUUUGUCAAUCUCCAGGUCCUCAAACUAUUGGACUAUGUCUUCCACCGUGACACGAGCAUAGCCAUAUGCAAUGGGGUUGUUGUGGUGGAGUGCUCCAGGUGUACAGGGUAAAGCACUGCCAGUAGCUACCUUCGUGGAAACGUUCCCCACGGGAUAAUGCAGAUCACAUUCUUUCAUCUCCUUUACAUCAUCCACGGGGUAGUGAGGCUCCGGUGCACGAAUCUCGAUCAUCGGUGCAUUAGCACCAGGCGGGGCAUCCGUGGAAGCCACGCUGCUUCUCCGCUGCUGGCUUCCGCGAUCCGCUUCAUGAUCUUCAUGCGGCCCUGCAGCCGAUUUUUCUUUUACUAGUUCAUGCACGGUCUGCUUCAACUCAUGGAGUUCCGAUGCAAACUUCACCAAAAGAUCUGCAUCCCGGUCCGUCUUUCUCUUACGGCUUCUGUAACAGUACGGGUCAUUGUCCUGGGAAAACCCUACUUUCCACGAAAUUCUGCCUUUGCCUCGUACACGUCCUCCGUGUUCAUCAUUCCGAGGGCUGUUGUCAGUGCGUCUUUCUCUCUGUUGAACUUGAUCAAGCCCUCUUGAGCUUGGGUCAUUGCGUCAAUAAGGGCUUGGGUGGGAGCAAACUUUUUCUUCCGGUGAACACACACCCCUGUCUCCGGGUCUAGCGAUCCCCCAUGCCCGUACCACCAGCUUUUGGCCCUUGGGUCCCAUCCCUCUGUACCUAGAGGGAUUCCUCGCACCCUCAGGUCCUCCUCCAUCUUCUGCCACUUAGGCUCCGAAAGGCGGUAUCCUCCUGGCCCCAUAAUAUGAUGGAACUUUUUCUUACUCGCAUUAUCCUUAUUUUUUCCGACAUUUCCUUGAAAUGCUCUGAUUUUUUUUGCCUCACAAAUUCUGGCCAAUCAUCUUUCAGUUUCUCAUGUUGUCCAUUGAAAUCCGGAGUCUUGCCCUUGUUGACAUAGUCACGGGUUAAAUUUUUCUUGAAGUUCCGGAAUGCUUCGCCCAUCUUCUCAAGAGCGAACUCUUUAACUAGCCUCCUCCUCUCACGUCCACCCGGAACCUCGUUACCGAAUUCAUCGACUUUGUUGUAUUCCGGAGGUAGAAUGAAAUGUUCCAUAAGCUUUUUCCAGCAAUCCUUUUUCGUUCUCUUGUCGACAAAACUGAAACCAAGACGUGCCUUCUUUGGCUCCUUCCAUUCCUGGACGGUGAUCGGGACGUUGUCUCUAACAACGACUCCACAUUGGUUGAUAAACUUUGAGGUGUGCUGUAGGGGCUUGCCGGUUUCACUGACAAAAUCAAUGGCAUAUGUUUCUCCUUUUUUCAUCGCCUUGGAUUUGCCACGCUUUGUCGUACUCGAUCCGGCCGAGGGUCGCGCACGUUAAUACAUAUGUAUUCGCAUUUCAGUAAGUUUGUAUCACGAGAGGCUCAAUGUAUAUAUAUACCUCGCCGGAGGUGGUUGCUACUUGCAAUUCGAGAUUGUCGUUUGUUGACGGUUGACCUCCGUUGACAAUGUCCGUUCCUUCACCUUCUUGAUCAUCGACAAUGUCUGUUCCACCGUCAAGGUUCAGAAAAGAAGAGACUACAUCCUCUUCUUGCUCAUAUUCUGAGCCCGGCACAUAAGGAAUCUCGUUGUUUAUGAUGCCCAUUAAAUAACGUUCAGCCUCCGGAUCCCUAAGCGGCUCGGCUCUAUCGUCCGCCAUAUGUCACUCCUGCAUGUAGUCAAAAUUAAUUAAGUAUAAAGGAAUUAAAAAAUAAGAUUAAGGGGACAUAGAGGAGGAGCAGCUACGGUUGAAUGAUUAAGAGCUAUUAAAAAAUAAAAUUGAUGUUUUUCCUUUUCUUUUUCCUUUUCUUUUUCCUCUCUACUCUCUCUUUCCUUUUCUUUUUCCUUUUCUUUUCCUUUUCUUUUUCCUUUAUACAAUUAUUCCCAAAUAAAUUUCCUUUUCUUUUUCCUUUUCUUUUUCCUCUCUGCUCUCUCUUUCCUUUUCUUUUUCCUUUUCUUUUUCCUUUAUACAAUUAUUCCCAAAUAAAUUUCCUUUUCUUUUUCCUUUUCUUUUUCCUCUCUGCUCUCUCUUUCCUUUUCUUUUUCCUUUUCUUUUUCCUUUUCUUUUUCCUCUCUACUCUCUCUUUCCGUUUGUUGACGGCAGGCGGCGGCGGGAGGCAGAGGAGGGCAGGCCNNNNNNNNNNNNNNNNNNNNNNNNNNNNNNNNNNNNNNNNNNNNNNNNNNNNNNNNNNNNNNNNNNNNNNNNNNNNNNNNNNNNNNNNNNNNNNNNNNNNNNNNNNNNNNNNNNNNNNNNNNNNNNNNNNNNNNNNNNNNNNNNNNNNNNNNNNNNNNNNNNNNNNNNNNNNNNNNNNNNNNNNNNNNNNNNNNNNNNNNNNNNNNNNNNNNNNNNNNNNNNNNNNNNNNNNNNNNNNNNNNNNNNNNNNNNNNNNNNNNNNNNNNNNNNNNNNNNNNNNNNNNNNNNNNNNNNNNNNNNNNNNNNNNNNNNNNNNNNNNNNNNNNNNNNNNNNNNNNNNNNNNNNNNNNNNNNNNNNNNGCAGGGCAGGGCAGGGGCGGCGGCGGCAGUGCAGGGCAAGGGCGGCGGCGUAGGGCAGGGGAAGUGGGGGGCGGCGGAGCUCACUGGGGGCAGGGCGCUGGUGUCGGGGCAGGGCGUCGGCGUCGAUCGGCGUCGGGGCAGCAGCCUGGCGGCGUCGGCGUCGAUCGGCGUCGGGGCAGGGCGUCGGCGUCGAGAGGAGAAUGAGAGGUGGGGGAAAAUUUACUAAGUGUUAUAUAUAUAGACAGAGCAUUAGUCCCGGUUGGGGACGCCAACCGCGACUAAAGGUACCUUUAGUCGCGGUUGGUCUCCCCAACCGGGACUAAAGGUUCUUUCGCGCCGCUUUCGUUCCCGCGCGGAAAGAGCCUUUAGUCGCGGUUCGUGUCACGAACCGCGACUAAAGGUCCUUUUUCAUAUACUUUUCAGAAAAUACAAAUAAUAUAUCAAAAAAUUCAGAAAAAUAAAACUAAUUCAUUUUAAAAUCUUAAAAAUAGAAAUAAUAUAUCAAAAAAUUCAGAAAAAUAAAANNNNNNNNNNNNNNNNNNNNNNNNNNNNNNNNNNNNNNNNNNNNNNNNNNNNNNNNNNNNNNNNNNNNNNNNNNNNNNNNNNNNNNNNNNNNNNNNNNNNNNNNNNNNNNNNNNNNNNNNNNNNNNNNNNNNNNNNNNNNNNNNNNNNNNNNNNNNNNNNNNNNNNNNNNNNNNNNNNNNNNNNNNNNNNNNNNNNNNNNNNNNNNNNUUAAAAUCUUAAAAAUAGAAAUAAUAUAUCAAAAAAUUCAAAAAAAUAAAACUAAUUCAUUUGAAAAUCUUAAAAAUACAUAUAAUAUAUCAAAAAAUUCUGAAAAAUAAAACUAAUUCAUUUUAAAAAUUCAGACCGAUUGUUUUGUUCUACAUCCUCGAUCCCUUGAAGGUUUGACAAAAGGUUUGAUACAUCAUUCAGUUCAUCGGCCAAAUACAAAUCAUCCGGAUUCGCCAUCGUACGUUUUAAUUCACAUGAUCCAUUCAACAAAGUUUGGUACAAUAAAUUAUUACACAUCAAUUCUUCCCGUGUGUCCCUGCUUGCUUACGAUUGUGCCGUAUCCAUGGAGCAUCCUCAUCAUUUAACUUAAUGCUUGGGUCAGUGUUCACUUUGAAGGGCGGAAUUUCACCAAACAUAUUAUAAUCUUCUGACAUGUCUGUCUUGUCCUCCACUCCCACAAUGUUUCUUUUCCCUGAAAGAACAAUGUGGCGCUUUGGAUCAUCGCAUGAUGUACUGAUCGUUUUCUUAUCUUUCCGUUUCCUCGGUUUGCUACUCAUGUCCUUCAAAUAAAAAACCUGAGCGACAUCUUUGGCAAGGACGAAUGGUUCGUCAAGGUAACCAAGAUUGUUGAAAUCCACCAUUGUCAUUCCGUAUUGCUCGUCCACCUUUACCCCACCUCCUGUUAGCUUGAACCAUUUGCACCGGAACAAAGGGACCUUAAAGGAGGGUCCAUAGUCAAGUUCCCAUAUCUCCUCUAUGUGACCAUAAUAUGUGACCUUUUGCCCAUUCUCGGUUGCUGCAUCAAAGCGGACACCACUGUUUUGGUUGGUGCUCUUUUUAUCUUGGGCGAUGGUGUAAAAUGUAUUCCCAUUUAUCUCGUACCCUUGGAAAGUCGUUAUAGUCGAAGAUGGUGUCUUGGCCAACAUGUACAGCUGAUCUCCAACAUCAUUGUCAUUCAUUAAAUGUUUUCGCAACCAACUGCCGAAAGUCUCCAUGUGGGCCUUUCUAAUCCAGGAUUCAGGUUUCCCCGGGUUGUCCGAGCGUAAAAUAUUCUUGUGUUGCUCGAACUACGGAGCCACCAAGCUGGAAUUUUGUAGAACUGUGUGGUGUGCUUCAGUCAUAGAAUGACCGUCCAUACAUAUCGUUGAUUUCCUUCCGAUCGUGCCUUUUCCACUUAGUCUCCCCUCGUGCCGCGAUUGAGGAAUACCAAUCGGCUUAAGGUCAGGAACAUAGUCAAUACAGAACUCAAUUACCUCCUCAUUUCCAUAGCCCUUGACGAUGCUUCCUUCUGGCCUAGCACGGUUACGAACAUAUUUCUUUAAUACUCCCGUGAACCUCUCAAAGGGGAACAUAUUGUGUAGAAAUACAGGACCGAGAAUGGAAAUCUCUUCGACUAGGUGGAGCAGGAGGUGCGUCAUAAUAUCGAAGAAGGAUGGUGGGAACACCAACUCAAAACUGACAAGGCAUUGGACCACAUCGUUCUGUAACCGUGGUAGAUCUUCUGGAUUGAUUACCUUCUGAGAGAUUGCAUUGAGGAAUGCACAUAGCUUCACAAUGGCUACUCGAACAUUUUCCGGUAAGAGCCCCCUCAAAGCAAUCGGAAGAAAUUGCGUCAUAAUCACGUGGCAGUCGUGAGACUUCAGGUUUAGGAACUUUUUGUCCGCCAUGUUUAUUAUUCCCUUUAUAUUCGACGAGAAGCCAGACGGGACCUUCAUACUGCUCAGGCAUUCAAAAAAUGACCUUCUCUUCUUUGGUAAGAGCGUAGCUGGCACGACCUUGAAACCAUUCCGGAUGCCGGUCAUCUGGGUCUUUCAAAAGUUGUUGGUCCUGCCGUGCUUCCUUUGUAUCAUUUGUCUUCCCAUACACGCCCAAGAAGCUUAGCAGGUUCACGCAAAUAUUCUUCGUAACAUGCAUCACGUCGAUUGCAGAGCGGACAUCUAGGACUUUCCAAUAUUCUAGCUCCCAAAAUAUAGAUUUCUUCUUCCACAUGGGUGCGUGCCCGUCAACUCCCCGCGGAACUGAUUGUCCGCCAGGACCCUUUCCAAAGAUGACUUUCAAAUCCUUGACCAUAUCAAAUAUCUCAGCACCAGUACGUUCCGCAGGCUUCGGCCGGUGAUCUGCCUUGCCGUUGAAAUGCUUGCCUUUCUUUCUUACGUUAUGAUUUCGGGGAAGAAAUCGACGAUGACCCAGGUACACGUUCUUCUUACAAUUACCCAAACGUACACUUUCAGUCUCAUGUAAGCAGUGCGUGCAUGCAUUGUAUCCCUUAUUUGUCUGUCCCGAAAGGUUACUGAGAGCAGGCCAAUCGUUGAUGGUUACAAAAAGCAACGCUCGUAGGUCAAAUUCCUCUUCUUUGUGCUCAUCCCAGACACGUACACCAGCUCUGCCCCACAACUGUAAAAGUUCAUCAACUAAUGGCCUUAGGUACACAUCGAUGUCGUACCCGGGUUGCUUUGGACCUUGGAUGAGCACUGGCAUCAUAAUGAACUUCCGCUUCAUGCACAACCAAGGAGGAAGGUUGUAGAUGCAUAGAGUCACGGGCCAGGUGCUAUGGCUGGAGCUCUGCUCGCCAAAAGGAUUCAUGCCAUCAGUACUUAGACCAAAUCUUAUGUUCCUUGCGUCAGCUGCAAAAUCUUUGAACACUCUGUCGAUCUUUCUCCAUUGCGUUCCAUCAGCGGUGUGUCCCAACUCCCCGUCGGACUUACGGUCCUCUUUGUGCCAUCGCAACGACUUGGCAUGCUUUUUGUUCCUGAACAGACGUUUCAACCGUGGUAUUAUAGGAGCAUACCACAUCACCUUGGCGGGAACCCUCUUCCUGGGUUUCUCGCCCUCAACAUCGUCACCAGGGUCAUCGCCUCUGAUCUUAUAACGCAAUGCAGUGCAUACAGGGCAUUCAUUCAAAUUCUCGUAUUCACCGCGGUAGAGGAUGCAGUCGUUAAUGCAUGCAUGUAUCUUCAGAACCUCUAAACCUAGAGGGCAGACAACCUUCUUUGCUUCGUACGUACUGGCGGGCAACUCGUUAUUCUUCGGAAACAUAUUCUUCAACAUUUUCAGCAAAUUUUCAAAUGAUGAGUCAGCUACACCUUCCUGUGCCUUCCAUUUUAGCAAAUCCAGUGUGCAACCCAACUUUUUCAGACUAUUAUCGCAUCCUGGGUACAACGACUUUUUGUGAUCCUCUAACAUGCGAUCCAAAUUCUCCCUCUCCUUGUCAGUUUCGCAGCGUCUCCGUGCAUCAGCAAUGGUCCGACCAAGAUCAUCAGCGGGCUCAUCAUGUGCCUCUUCUUCACCUUCACCUAACCCUUCCCCACCUUCAGCAUCAUCCUCCAUGAAAGUAUCACCGAAAUGAUCAUGAUAGUUGUCAUCGAUAUCAUCCCCUUCUUCAUCUUGUUCCAUUCUAACCCCUCUUUCUCCAUGCUUGGUCCAACAAUUAUAGCUUCGCAUGAAACCGUGCCGAAGCAGGUGCAUGUGAACGUCUCUUGAGGAGGAGUAACCCUUCUGAUUCUUACAGACACCACAUGGACAGAUAAUAAAACCUCGCUGCUUGUUCGCAUUUGCCACUACGAGGAAAUCUUUCAAACCCGUAGUGAACCGCCGGAGAGUCGGGGACCGUACAUCCAUUGCCGAUUCAUCUGCAUUAUUAUUAUAUAAAGUAUAUAAUUAACCAUCAUGCAUUUGUUAAACUAACUAGCUAGAAAUAAUACAAAUUAAACAAUGAACUACACACAUCCAUAUUUUAUCAAUGACACAUGAAAGGUUCAAGUUGCUAACCGCGAUCGCGGAGGAAAAAUAAAUGAGAAAGCUCAAGUGUGGCUCGGACACUUCAUAUCAUGUUUGUUUCAUGCUCUCGGGCAUUUCAUCGAACACCUUGUGUGCAUAGGAGGAACCAAAAGCAAACCCACCAGCCCCCUUCUGAAUUGUGGCUAAGUGAAGUGAGCUGAGUCCUAUAUAUAGGGAUGGGCCUUUAGUCCCGGCUGGCCUGGCCAACCGCAACUAAAGGCCUUCGGGCCAGCCUGAGGACCUUUAGUCCCGGUUGGCCAGGCCAACCGGGACUAAAGCCCCUCCCGUCCGCCAGCUGUCGACCGAGCGCGCUGGGCCCAGAUAGUUGGUCGCGGGUCUCCUCCCGAACCGCGACUAAAGACCCCUUUGGUCGCGGUUCGAUUAUUUUAGAGACUAAUGGGGGCGUAUGGAAGCCUCUGUUUCUACUAGUGGAGUGCGACGACCCAGAUGAGGGCGCUCUUGAGCUUCUUCCCGACCGACCUAGAUGCAGGAGCAGACCACGGCGGAUCUAAUCAGCCAACGAAUAAAACUGAGGCAGGUAGAGGAAGUAAGGGAGGAAGAAGACUGACUUGUCCUGGUCGCCCUCGUAGUAGAACCUGUGUUUUGAUUUUCGGCCAAAAAAGUGGAUUUCGGCCAUCUCGGCCUGGGGCAAAAAGUGUAUUUAGGCCGAAAUUGUUCAAAUUUAGCAAAUUUUGGUCAAAUUUAAGUCAAAUUGCAGUCAAAAUUUGGUCAAAUUUCAGCCGAAAUUUUUGAAAAUGGCCGAAAUUCGGCCAUCUCAGCCUAGGGAGAAAAAAAAGCUGAAACCAAAAAUCAAAACACAGAGUAGAACAUGGCGAACAGGAUGACGAGGACAGCGUCGAGGAUGUAGACGACGAGCCAGAGCAUGUUCAUGGGCAGGAUCAAGCAUGGGCAGGAUAAGGGUGCAGGCCCCGUUGUAGGCGGCAUGCUUGCAGGCCUGGCGGUUGGCGACGUCGGCGGGGAGCAUGAGGAUGGAGAGGACGGCGACGGUGAUGCCGAGCACGACGACGAGCUUGAGGAAGUAGGCCUGGUUGGCAUCAUCCGGGUGCUGGUAGUUGACGAGGAGCACCAGGAUGCUGACCACCGCCGCCACGAUCACUAGCGCCACGUUAAAAAAACCAUCUCCUCGGGGCUCCGGUCCCGGUUCCGGCCCGCCGCCUCGCCCCCUUGGUCGGUCAGAUCUCUCUGUCCCUAGAGGCGGGGGGAUACAGGCUAGGGUUUGGGCGUGGGCGGGGAAUAGGCUGCUAUGGUGCCGGCAGCGGGGCGUGUAGGAGAGAAGGAUUAGGAGGAAUAAUUCACCACACUUUGAUUAAGCUCUCGGCUGGUUCUUAUGUACAGAUUACAGGGCCAGCCAGGGAGAUCAUGGGGUGAUCCACUACCUGGGAUCGUGCGCCACGAUCACUACAUGCGUGCGCCACGAUCAUACACACACACGCUACACCUAGUGUCUACGCAACUACGGUAUAGCAGUACAGUACAGCCUAACACCCCCCGGAGUCGUGACGUCGGCGGCGGCGACGCAAAGACUGGACCGGAACUCAGAGAAAACAUCCGAUGGCAGGCCUUUGGUCAUGAUGUCGGUGUGUUGUUGGCGCGUGGGGAUGUGAAGAACACGGAAGUGGCCGAGGGCGACGCGCUCCCGCACGAAAUGGAUGUCCAGCUCCACAUGCUUAGUGCAGCGAUGAUGCACCGGAUUGGCUGACAGGUAGACUGCGGACACAUUGUCACAGUACACAAGUGCCGCCUUGGUCAUUGGAGCGGAGAGCUCGCCGAGAAGCUGGCGGAGCCAGAUGCAUUCAGCGACCGCGUUGGCGACGCCGCGGUAUUCAGCUUCGGCGCUGGAGCGCGAUACGGUCGCCUGGCGCUUGGAGGACCAGGAGACGAGAGCAUCGCCGAGGAAGACGCAGAAGCCCGACGUGGAGCGUCGGGUGUCGGGGCAGCCGGCCCAGUCCGCAUCGGUGAACGCACGGACGUCGAGCAUGGUCGAGGCGUGAAGAUGAAGCCCGAGUGCGCAGGUGCCCUUCACGUACCGGAGCACGCGCUUUACGAGCGCGAGGUGGCAUUCGCGCGGGUCAUGCAUGUGUAAGCAGAUUUGCUGGACGGCGUAGGCGAUCUCUGGACGCGUGAUGGUGAGGUACUGCAGGGCCCCGGCGAUGCUCCGAUAGGCCGAAGGGUCGUCGACGCAUGGCCCAUCGGCUGAGGGGAGUUUGCUCUUCGUGUCGAUGGGUGUCGGGGAAGGGCGGCAGGUGUCCAUGCCGGCGCGUUCCAGGAGCUCGUCGGCAUAUUGUUGUUGCGACAGGAAGAAGCCAGCUCGGGUGCGGGUGACGCGCAUGCCGAGGAAGAAGGCGAGCGAGCGCAGGUCCUUCAUGGCGAAUUCGCCUGUGAGGCGCUGGAUGACAUGGUGAAGCACGCGUGACGAGGACGCGGUGAGCACGAUGUCGUCGACGUAGAGGAGGAGGAACGCCAUGUCGUUGCCGUGCCGGAAGGUGAACAGCAACGAGUCCGAACGCGUAGCUGCGAAGCCAAUGGAGCGGACGAAGCCGGCGAAGUGGAGGAACCAGGCACGGGGCGCCUGCUUGAGCCCGUACAAGGACUUGGAGAGGCGGCAGACGUGCUCUGGUUUGUCGGGGUCGAUGAAUCCGGCGGGCUGGAGGCAGUAGACUUCCUCCUCAAGUUUCCGUGGAGGAAGGCAUUGGAGACGUCGAGGUGGUGCACCGGCCAGCCGCGCGACGCGGCCAUAGUGAGCACCAUGUGGAUCGUCACUGGCUUGACGACGGGGGAGAACGUCUCGCCGUAGUCGACGCCGGCACGCUGAUGAAAGCCCCGCACGACCCAGCAUGCUUUGUAGCGGGCCAGCACGCCGUCGGCGUCGUUUUUGUGCUUGAAGAUCCGCUUCCCUGUGAUCAGGUUGGCGCCGGGGGGGAGCGGGGCACCAGCUCCCACGUGCGAUUGCGCACGAGCGCAUCGUACUCAGCACACAUGGCAGCGAGCCAGUUCGGGUCGCGAACAGCAGCACGAACCGAACGCGGCACCGGCGACACCGAUGAUGAGCUAGAGGCGGUGGCCGCGUCGUAGUAGCGCGGCUUGGGGCGGAAGAUGCCGCGCUGGGCACGCGUGACCAUGGGCACAGGAGGCGCCGGUGCGCGGGGCGCCGCUGGUGGCGCGCUCGGAGACGAGCUGUCGGAGGAGCCACUGGGGAGUUGUCGGAGGAGGCGCUGGCGGAGGCGAAGACAAGCGGACCAGGCGCGGAUGGGCACGUCGAGGACGGAGCCGAGCCGCCAUCGGAAGCGCCCGCAGCGUACCGCGAGCUGACGCGGCGCGCCCCGCUGGUUGGCGAUGAUGAGCGGGGCAAGCCGGUGAUGGAGAUCAGGCGCGCCGGCAGCACGGGUGACAUGCUGCUGUCAGGCACCGGUGGAAGCGCGGGCAGCGCAGGAGGCCGGACGACGAGCGGGAUCUGCAGGUUAGAGGGUACGACGGGUGGCGUAGGCGACGGGGAAGAGGAUGCGAACGGGAAAACGUGUUCGUGGAAGAGAACGUGGCGAGACGUGAGGACGCGGCGAGAGGUGAGGUCAAAGCAGCGAAAACCACGAUGAUCGGGAGGGUACCCGAGGAAGACGCAGGCGAUAGAACGUGGCUCGAGCUUAUGGCGGGUGGUGGCGGUGACGUUCGGAUAGCAGAGGCAUCCAAAGACGCGGAGCUGCGAGUAAUUUGUGCGGGCAUGCGGUGACGUUCGGAUAGAUGCGGAGUAAUUUGUGCGACGCCGAGCAGGAGUUCAUGCGGAGUGCAGGGCGCCGAGGCGCGGCAGGGCCGACGAUUGAGCAGGUAGGUCGAGGUGUUGAGAGCCUCUGCCCAGAAGCGAGCGGGCAUGUGCGCAUGACAGAGAAGCACACGAACACCGUCGUUGAUCGUGCGGAGAACUCGCUCGUCCUUGCCGUUCUGCCGUGGCGAGCAAGCAGAGAGCGCGCGGCUGCACUGUCGAAUUCACGACCGUUGCCCGUUUCCAGUGCAAGUAUGGGUAACUGAAACUGAGUCUGAACAUAGGCAAAGAAAUCAACAAGUAUGGGAAGAACUUCAGACUUGUGUUUCAGAGGGAAAGUCCAGACAUAGUGACUGAAAUCAUCUAGUACAACUAAGUAAAACUGAUAGCCGGAUAUGCUUACAACGGGAGCGGUCCAUACAUCAAGGUGUAAAAGCUGGAAAGGAAAGAAACUAGCAGUGGUGGAUGUCUGAAACGUGUUGGAUCGAUGUCCGUGUAGCCCGCUUCUUUCUCUGUAGGAAGGACGCGGUUACGCUCGCGUUGACAUCGGAUGACUCGAUCACAUGCACGGGAGGGGCGGUACGACAUGGCACCGCCACGCCACCGUGCUCCCUCCCAGUGCCGACCUGGAGCAACUUGCCACUCCUCAGCUCGUGACCGGUGGGCUUGACGGGCCACCUAGCCAUUUUUUAUGCCAGACAACUCUUCUUCCUGCUCAUCAGAUGUCAUGGAUAAAACUGUUUAAGGAGGAAAAUGAUGAGUGGACGUGUGAUGCGGUUCUUGCCCAACAUCUGACAUUGUUUAAAUAGCGAGGGGACACGAGAGGAGCCAACUGGCGUUCUGUUUAAUGCCAACCGGCUCGUGAACGAACAUGUGGCCGGAGUAAUUAUCCUGGCACACACGAGGGUUUAAUGGUGGAAGGCGGGCAGUCUGCAGGAAUGAGGCGAGGAUGUGUGCUUAGCCGGCGUGCAGUAGGCGGCGCCCUCGGCCGGCGUGCUGCUUCCAUUGCGGAGGCAGUGAGAGGUCGCGUCCGCUCUGCAGCGCAUGAAUGCGGGCAGCUGGCGCAGAGCGGGAACGCGUGCGGGCGAGGGAGGAGGGGGUUUGGGCGGGUGGUCAGAAGAGGUCGUGGGUGUUGUCCGAACGCCUGCAAAUCCCCCCUCCAUAUUUGUCUCCAGUUUGCGGGAGAAAGUACGUCCGGACCGUCUCCAAUGGACCAAUACAGGCCCGCAUUAGAUGGCACAACACGUCCGGACCAUGUGGUCCGGAUGGUUGUGGACAGUUUAAUUGAGGGUCGGCGUUGGAGAUGCCUUAGAGUUUAUGAAUCCAUUGUGUUUUUCUAAUCAUAAAAAAGCACUUACAAUAAGUUAUAAGGAAAGACACGUUUAUAUGUUAGGUUCAGACUCCAGGUUUCGUUUUACAUAUGCUUUAUUCAUCCGACUGAUUCCAAUAGAGUGAGCCUAGCGUUGUUUUUCUGGAAACUCGCGGGAUAAGGAGACAUGCAUACACAUUCUUUCAAGCAAAUCACAUCCAUUCUUUUUAACUCAUUUUUCUUCUUUUAAUAAUAUAAUAGAUCAUUUAUAUUUUUUAUCUGAAACAGUUGACGUGUAAUUUAUAUUGUAAUCUGAGGAUAAUGUUUGGAUUUUACUUUCAAAUAUAUUUGAAAUGGCCAUGAUGGAAUCACAUCCAUUUAUUUUAUUAUUAUUUGAAUUUGAUCCAAAAGAUAAAUAAUGAGUUGAGGUCAUGUCAACUUUUCUGAGAACUUUGCUAAUCAAAAUAUAAAUUGUAUUUAAAAAAUCUAUUUUUUAGCACGCAUGAAAAACAUAACACGUAUCUUUUCACACAUAAUGAACGGUUGUCAUAAGAACUCAUGCCAUGCCACAACCUCCCUCCGACCCUGCCAACAUUGUUGCAGCUGCACUCGCAAGCCUUAGCGUAGAUGAUAAUUUAUACAAUUUGCGUAAAACAAAAUAAGAUCUACAAAUUAAUAGAAGCUAGAACGUACAUUGGCAUGCACACACAUUGCAAGCUAUACUAAGCUGAUAAGUGUUAAUAACUUGUACAACAUAUACAACACUUAAGACAAGUAAAAGCAAUUUGAUGAGUCAUGGUCUAUCAAAGCCACAUUACUAGUCUAAUCCAUCUUAACAGGUCACACAUGAUUAAAAUCUUGUUUGUGUGCAAGUCAAGCUUAUCUAGUUUACAUGUAACAACUUGUAGAACAUUAAAAAAUUUAUGUUUGCUAAUAACUUCUAGAACACUACAACACUUGACAUGUAAAAGGAAUUUGAUGAGUCAUGGCCUACUAAAGCAAGUUAUAUUACUAGUCUUAUCUACCUUAACAGGCCACACAAGAUUACAAACCAAGUUCUGUGCCAGCCAUGCUUAUCUAGUUUAUGCGUAACAAUUUGCAGAAAAUUACAAACUUAGUUUCAGAAAAAUAGGCAAUCUAGAUUAGUGUUUGAGCUAUAAAGUGAAUAAAAUGAGUCAUCUGUGUUAUCACACCUUUUUGGUUGUGGAAUGAUAGUGCAACAACAAGGAACUUUAAUGACCAGUUCAAGAAUACACUUGUAAGUAGUGCCACCGAACACAACAUACCAAAUUAUGAUUUUGAGAAGCAUCCAAGCACUUCCACACAAGCAAAUGCCAAUUGUGAAAGAGAUCAUGCCAUGGCAGCUAUAAAUAGGCCCGUAGCAUGACGAUCAUCCUUCCUCAUCCAUCAUUCUCAAAAGUAGAGCGCAUCAUUUAAGCCAAGCAAGCAGUGCUCAAUACAAAUCCACCAUGAAGACCUUUCUCAUCCUUGCCCUCCUUGCUAUUGUAGCAACCACCGCCACAAUUGCAGUUAGAGUUCCAGUGCCACAAUUGCAGCCACAAAAUCCAUCUCAGCAACAACCACAAGAGCAAGUUCCAUUGGUACAACAACAGCAAUUUCCAGGGCAGCAACAACCAUUUCCACCACAACAACCAUAUCCGCAGCCGCAACCAUUUCCAUCACAACAACCAUAUCUGCAGCUGCAACCAUUUCCACAGCCGCAACUACCAUAUCCGCAGCCGCAACUACCAUAUCCGCAGCCGCAACCAUUUCGACCACAACAACCAUAUCCACAACCGCAACCACAGUAUUCGCAACCACAACAACCAAUUUCGCAGCAGCAACAACAACAACAACAACAAAUCCUUCAACAAAUUUUGCAACAACAACUGAUUCCAUGCAGGGAUGUUGUAUUGCAACAACACAACAUAGCGCAUGGAAGGUCACAAGUUUUGCAACAAAGUACUUACCAGCUGGUGCAACAAUUGUGUUGUCAGCAGCUGUGGCAGAUCCCCGAGCAGUCGCGGUGCCAAGCCAUCCACAAUGUUGUUCAUGCUAUUAUUCUGCAUCAUCAUCAACAACAACAACAACAACAACAACCGUUGACCCAGGUCUCCUUCCAACAGCCUCAACAACAAUAUCCAUCAGGCCAGGGCUCCUUCCAGCCAUCUCAGCAAAACCCACAGGCCCAGGGCUCUGUCCAGCCUCAACAACUGCCCCAGUUUGAGGAAAUAAGGAACCUAGCGCUAGAGACGCUACCUGCAAUGUGCAAUGUCUAUAUCCCUCCAUAUUGCACCAUUGCUCAAGUUGGCAUCUUCGGUACUAACUGAGAAGAGAAGAACUCUAGUAGUAGAUAUAUGAUACACCGUUUUCUUAGUCCAUGGUUUGGUCGUUGUAGCGGUGAAAAAAUAAAGUGACAUGCACUAUCAUGCAAGAACCCGAACUAUACUAGUUCAAACAUGGGAAUAAAAGACAAACACAUGUCUUGACUACAUAUGAUUGUUUGUUUGAGUUCCACUCAUGUGCCCACUUACAAGUUCACCCCUAAUUAUAUAUAUUAUGCAUUAAGUAGAUAUUUAUGUUGCAUUAAUCUAAAGAUAACAAAAUGAGUCUGAAAUUUGAAUUAAAUUGAAGUAUUUCCUUGGACUUUCAAAUGGAGUAUUAUUAAAGUAGUAAGGACUAUCCACAUCCUUGGCUUGCCCUUGAUCAAUUAUUUC
rnacentral:lncRNA from 1 species